UUGCCGCCACCUUCGAUGUCGCGGUUGCCACCAUCGCUGAGAGAAUCUGCGAAUGUAAAGACUGCAGUGGGACAGAUUGAGCCCUCCUUGGGCGAUCGAAUCGCAGCAGACUGAGAAAACAGUGAGACGAUGAAAAGAGCAAAGAUUGCAAGAACAGUGGAAGCCAUCUUUUAUGAUGCUUUGAAACUGCGAUGGAGUUGCUUUAUAUANNNNNNNNNNNNNNNNNNNNNNNNNNNNNNNNNNNNNNNNNNNNNNNNNNNNNNNNNNNNNNNNNNNNNNNNNNNNNNNNNNNNNNNNNNNNNNNNNNNNCUUUGUUUUACAUAAAGGUGAACUAAAUAAAGAGCUCACAUCAUUUCCACAAUGUUCUUGGUUUUCUUCUUGCGUUAAAGACGAAAAAUCACCAGCAUUUUGCAUCAAAUACUUGCAUUGAUCCUUCUUCCAGGGAGCGAUGUGAGCCGCGAGCAGAGUAGUUCUGGAACUGUGUGAGCUAAGCGAACACAUGAUCCCGCCCAAUCAUGGGGCCACACUACGCCAAAUCAUCUUCGUAUUUCAGCAGCACGGUAUUCAUGAACCGGUCCCCGUCCUAGGCAGCAAUUGAUGGAGCUGAUGGCUGCGAUUCUUGUGAAUGUUUCCAGCAGCCAAAUUUUUUGAUCGCUUUGGUAACUCGAAAUACUGAUCGACUUUCAGAAACUCAAAUUAGCAUACCAGUAGCAGAGAUUAGCAUACCUUGAUCUAGUAUAUAAAGCAACUCCAUUGCAGUUUCAAAAGAUGGCUUAAAAGCGGAGAAGAUGGGCUGUGGUUGUCUUGGUUUGGUGACAAUUGGUUAGGGUUUAGGGUUUAGCCGUUUAAAACCCUAAACUUUGAGCUCCAGAUGGAGGUGAGUCUUGUCUUGGUUUGUCUUGGUCUGGUGGCAAGAAUUUGAUCAAUUUUUUAUCCCAUUUUCCCAUAGCCUAAAUGGCUGCAAGCACCAAGAUUCCCAGUUUUAUUUACACAAAAACCUCCUCUCGCUUUUCAUCUUGCUUCUUAUAUUUCUAAGUAACUAAAAUACCUAUUAAAGUAUAUUUAAUGUUCUUAAAUUUAGUAUUUAUUUGAUUUUAUACAUGUAGACUUUUUGAAAUUGAACCAAAAAGCGUUUUCAAAUAUAAAACUUAAUUUCUUAAAAUGUUUUUUAUGUUAUAUUAUGCACUCAAAGUUAAUUAUAAAUGACUAAUUUUUUUAUUCUACUUUAGCUACUAAAACACACAUAAAUAAAAGCCUUAUAAUCUCCAUAAGUCCUUAUCCCAACUUAGGAUGUUUCUUAAAACUCAAAAGAUAGCUUCAAAUUCACAUUAAAUUCACACCUAACCCUCUAAAGGUAUCAUUGAUUAUUAGUUUCUUACAUUAAAGCUAUAUUUAUUUUCAUUAUCUUAAUUGCUAGUCCAAGACCACUUGCACUAUAAACCCAUCUCUUUAAAACAAAACCAUCCUUUCCAUGAAAGCUCACUUUAUAACCAUUUCCUUAGUAGCUCUAUGAUAUGAGGGAAUAUUAUCCUCUAAUAUCCUUUAUUUGAUCCCUAUAAAGCUCCUUUUUAAUCAUAAUAGUGCUUAUUAACACCAUCACUAAGUCAAAGUCUAAAAACCUAUCUAAUAAAUUUCAUUAAUCCAUGGGACUUCCUCUUCAUGUAACCAUAUUUUUUAUUACUAAGCAAGAGGACCAUUCAUUUUCCUUUCUACAAUCAAGGAUUUUCAAAUACCACUUCAAAACACUAUAACCCAACAUAAGCCUUAUGGAUAUAUUCACCUUCCAUCACAAUAUUGCCUCAAUUAUGUGGCUAAAAUGAAAUUUUGGUGAGCCAUAUAAAGUAUCCAAGUAGGUAAUGUCACCCAAUUCGAAUUAUAGGUGGCACUUUCAAUCCAACUACUAAAUAUCUAAGAGGUAUAUAAAGUACCCUAGUGAUGUGUUGAAUAUAUUUAGGGCCAAAUAUCAAAACAUAUCUAAGAGUGUUAAUUCACCCCACCCCUAUCAAUCAUUCAAACUCUUGGAGGAAAUAAUAUUAAUUGUCCAUUUAUGUUUACUUUAGCCUUAGACUCUUCACUCAUUAAGUAGGUAUAACUUUCUUUUACUAUUAAAAUCCUCCCUUUACUAUCUCACAAAAACUUACAAAACCUUUUAAAGUCUGAGAGAUGAUCACUUUAGGCUUUCAUCCCACCCUUUAGACAUAUUUAGGUGAUAUUUCAUAAUGAAGUGAGAUAGUUUUAAUAUCAUUCUUGUAAACAACCAAAGAGAAUAACUCAAGAGAGGAUCUAUAAUAGUUCAAAUAUUAAAAAAAAGGCCUAUAAAUAAGAGUAUAUCCUCUAUUUCAAUUAAUUAAAAAACUUUUAGGAUACUGUUCUUGGGUUUUAGUAGUAUUAGAUUGGGUGAUUAGAAAAUUCAUAAUAUUUUCAUUAAUCAAGAAUAAAAAUUAGGGGCAUAAAGAUGAUCAAAUACCAUUUUAGUCUCAAUUAUAAAUGCAUUUUGAGCUUAGUGUCAUAGUAGUAAAUAUAGUUUUGCUAACUAAUCUUUACUAAAGUUGGAUAUUUUUUAGUUGCUUUUGUAUUACGUAUUGGUCAUUCUUUUGUCCCUUUUUGAUAUUUGUUUAUCAAUCAUUUCAUUCUCAUUCUUCGGGUGUUUUCUUAAGAGUUUUAUUCUCAUUCUUAAAUUGUCCAAAUCAAACUUGAGUUUUUCUUUAGAAGUUUUAUUUCCACAUUUCAAUUUUCCAAAUUAGAGCUUUUGGUCCAAACAUGUUAUAUUUAUUGGACUUCUACCUUAGUUAUUCCCAUAUGGCAGACAUUUAAUUCUACUUUGGGAUUUCGGGAUUUAUAUUUCAUAUUAAUAUUUGGUUUCAAAAAUGAAUUACUUUAUACAUUAAAAGGUUAUUAAAAUUAAAGGAGAUAGUUAUAACUAAAGAAUAGUAAGUGGAUUUGAAUAGUUUCUUAUAAUUAUUAUUAUUUAAUUAAAAUGAUAAUUUAGUAAAAGUUUGAACCUUGAAAAACUUUAAAGAUUAUAAGUAGCUUUAGAAAUUGAAAAAUAUUCACUCAGCUCUAUUGUUAAGUUUAAUAGUCAUGGUAGGUUUAAUCUUAAAGGGAUAGUGUAUAUUUAUUCAAUACAUUAAUAUAAUUAUUGAAAGAAUUAACAAUUUAUAUUUUUCAAGAUAGAAACAUAUUAAUUUAUAUUUUUUAUUUAUUUUUAUUAAUUAGACCAAACACUUCACACAAAAAUAUAUAUUAUAAAAUAUUUUUUAUUCUUUUUAUAAUAUUAUUUUAAUAAAGAAAUGGGAUGAUUGACGAUAUGAAGCAGCAUAACUCAAAUUAAUUAUUUCCUAACAAAAUAAACAAAAAAACUUUUUUAGAAAAAUAAAUUCUUACAAAUUCCUACUUUUCAAGUUCAAUUUAAUCCUUUAUUCAAUGUUAUGAGAAAAAUGGGGUAAAAACUUAUUUAAGCAUUUUUACUAAUUAAAAUAUUAAAUUAUUGAUUAAUUAAAUUUAUAUUUUUAAAUUUAUUUUUAGUCUAUGGUUUUAUUUUUUUCCUAAUAUUUAAAUUAUAUAUAUAAAACUUAACAUUUUUUAAUAUACAAGUCAUAAUAUAAAAUUUGUUACUACCAUUAUUAUUUGCUAGAGGAUAUGUUGGUCAAAAAAAUUAAAUUAAAUAAGUUAAAAAUAAUUGUUAUCAUUGAAAAAGUGUUCAAAACUGUGUGUAAAAUACAUAAAAAAGGUGUGAUACAUAAAAUAUUAAACCAAAAAACAUCUUUUUAGGGUUUAAAAAGAGUUGUUUUAUACUAGUUUGAUAAAAAAAAUCAUUUAAUCGAAAUAAUUUGAAAAAGAGAUUUAAAUUUUUAUAUUUUGGCAACGUAAUAAACUUAAAUUUUAUAUUUAAGAAACUCAUUCCACAACUUUUUUUUUAGUUUAUUUUCUUUUUAUAAUUAUAUUUGAUAAUUUUUUAAGGUCUUCUAUAGCUUAUAAAAGCUAAUAUUUUUUUAAGUUGAUUUAAAAAAUAUAGUUUAAUAAUCUCAUUGUUAAAUAAAACAUAAAUAACUUUUAUUACUUAUAGAAAUUUUCUUAAAAUUAUAUUUCUAUAUAACUCAAUUUAUGCUAUAAUAAUGAUAAAAUAAAUAUUUGUGUAUUUAUUAUGAUGAAGUUUUUUUGGGCCUUAAGUAUAUAAUCUUUCUUUUUGCUAAAUUUUAUUUUAAAUUCCAAAUUGUAACACAUUAGAAAUUAUUGAAUGUAUACACAAAUGAGCAAACACAUUUGUGUGUUUUUGAAAGAUAGUAAUAUUUCACAAUCAUGUGUUUUAAUUUGUAUAUAAUAUUUAUUUAAAUGAUUAUUUAGAAAUAUAACAUGAGAAAGUGAAUUAUUUAAUUUUUUAAAUAGUAAAAAAUGAGAUGGCACUAUUAAUAACAAGUUACAAUUCAACUUUGAAUUUUAAUAAUUGCAUUAUGGCACGAAGUGAUAAAACUAUUACUCCAUAAUAAUAAAUAACUAAAUUAUUAUUGAUUGUUAAAUGAAAAUAUACUAAGGAUUAUACUAAUGUUUCUAACAGUUUAGAAUUGUUAUUAUUUAUAAUCAAAUUUUAGUUAGUUAGAGUUCCAUGGGUGUUUAACAAGUUUUGAACUAAAUAAGUGAACUAAUUUAAUGGGCUGUGAAGUCGGUGAGUGGAGCGCCUUCCGUAACUGGAGGUAAGCGACACUCAAUGCCACAAGGCAAGGCGCUGGCAGCUUCCAUUGUCAUAGGAGAGUUUGAUCGCUGAUGACAAUGGAAGCUCCUAGGCAAAGAGAUAAGAUUGAGUGUUGCUGGGAGAAACGCUCCGAGGCGAGGAUCGAUUAUUGCUCGCUGGUCUCAGAAUACACGCAGGAUGGAAAAUUCCUGAAAGUACCGAUCUUGAGACGAUGCAGAGAUCCAUGCUGCGUCUGACGUGGAAGGGUUGGAGCUCAAAUUCUUCGAAAACCAUUUGGAAAAAUGGUACCUUUGGAUCGAGAAUACCUCACAGGGAGACUAAACCAUCGCUUCUAUACAAGCUUACAAGCCCUGCACGAUAUUACAUUAGAACUGAAGAUAGAAAAUCACAAGAUAGAACCUUAAAUAGUAGAUCGUGAGCUAGUGUCUCCCAGUCGAGUGAAACCGAGAGAAGCGAGCAUCUGAGUGGAAUCAAGUCCUCAUUUGGCCCCGACGAUGCAGCUAGAUAAGCGUGCUUUGCCGCGUCGGCCGCCUUUCGCACGAUGGUACCGAUCCCAAGCUUUGCUCCUGGUGCUUCGACUGGUUCCUCGCUGGGAUCUGAUCGUGGUAGCAGAAAAACAACUUUGUGAAUCUCUUCACGUAAAAAUAAUUCUUGCUACCUGGUACUCUUGUAACAAUCACGUCAACUUCGCCACGGCCACCAGGCCCUCGCAUCACAAGCCUCUCCGACUUGCCUCCCAAAUGUAAAAAUCCAAAGCUCAAUUUUCCACCUGGAAACUCCGAAGAGUAAGAACGCUACGUAGUGGCUCUAUGUGCACUUACUUUCAAAAGCGGAACGCACCAUUUCGUAACUUACAAAUCCCGAAAACAAUGUCACCUGGAACAAGGCGUGAGAAGAAUGGUGUGUGACGGAAAAGUAUUACCACUGCGCUCGAGCGUGAACCAUCUUUUCCUCUUAUAAGUCUCCCGGAUCCAAAUGCCGCUCCUCCCGUGGCGUGAAGGAGAACGCAGUAACAAUGAUCUUCAUUUUUAAGAAUCUGCACGAGAAGCAUAAGAUCAAGACGAGAAGAUGACCAAGAUUUACCAGGUGUUCAAAUGUAUCGUCGUGAUCAUCAACCGAGAAGUAAAUGUCGGGAUAAGAUGACACCGUCUCCGAAGCCUGGAAGUCCCAAGAUCAGGAAGACAACGCCAAAACGAAGCACUUACUUUUGAAGACUUUGUUUGAAAAUUUGAGCGGCUUGGCGAGGCAAAAACAUUUUUUGUGAUCUGGAAAACAAGGCAUUGUCAAGAAAGAAAAAAAACGAGAAAACAGAGCUGAACCUUAUAGAUGGAUUCCAGAGAACUUCCGGAGGAAUUUCGAUAUCUAAGCAACUCUUCUCGGCUGCAGGAUGAGAAAGCGUGAGAGAAACACCAAGCAAAUCGUUCGAUAAAUACCUACAAAUCGAAACUGUUAAUGUGUAUGUUGUGUGCACUACAAGGUUGAGAUAAAAGGAUCGUCUCCAGUCCACUUCCCGUGUUCUAUCUCCAAGAACUUUACUUAGCUGUGGAAGCCAAGAGAGAUGCUACUUGAAGAACAAAAUGAGAGACAAACCUGUGGUUGCCAUCGGCGCACGAAGCAUGGCUCCGCGAAGAUUUUUCCUUCGUCAUUGAAUCCACCACCGCCAAAUUCUAAGCUCUGGAGAAAACCGAGAAGAAAAUCGAGUCUCAAUAGAAGAGAAAGAAUUUUUUCCGGACACUUACGAGCAAAUUCACGAAGAAGAGAAGAUCGUCGCUCGUUGUUUUCGACUCCACAAGACCACGGACGAAGAACAUGUCCAGCAUUUCUUGCCAAAAGUGCGAAUCCCCGCUCUCCUCCCCAUCGCGCGCGAUAGUCUGGCCGAGAGAGCUCGAAUACUUGCGGACAAUCGCAAGAAGCUCGUCCCUGCGCAAGCGCGAGCUGAGAAUCUAUUGCCCUUACUAAGUGAUCAUACCUGGAGGGGGCGCUCACCGACAUUUGUUCCUCGCUUUCAUGAAACUGGGAUUAGGGUUCUUGGUAUUAUAGGGUUCUUCGCUUCUCUCUUUUCUCUAGUGGCAUUUGGCGAUGGCGCUCUCCGACGAUUCGAGCUGGAUGACUGCCGCGCACAGCAUGGGCGUAAGUAUAGCAUUCGAUCUCCAGCUGAGCUUGAUUUUCCUGUGUCCGCGCGUAGACCACGAUCAUUGGCGUGGAGUACGCCGACGGUGUUGUUCUUGGAGCUGAUUCGCGAACCACAACAGGUACAAAGAGUUUAACUCUUUAUCUUUCAUUGGUAGCUCCCAUUUUUCCUUUGCGCAAUCAGGAAUCUAUGUCGCAAACCGAGCUUCCGAUAAAAUCUCCAAGCUGACCGACAAUGUCUACAUUUGUCGAUCUGGAUCGGUAGCUUGUUUUUGGUGUUUUGUGAUUUCUUUGUCCUUAUAUCUUGUUCCAGGCAGCAGACACGCAAGUAAUCUCCGAUUACGUUCGUUACCUCCUCCACCAGCACACGUAAGUGAUCGAUUUUCAUGGUUUUCGUUCUCUCUUACUUGUUUGUCUUUAUGGAUCCAGGAUUGUUUUGGGUGAACAAGCAACUGUCAAGGCAGCUGCGAAGCUGGUUAGAGAGAUUGCCUACUCGAACAAGGUUUGUUUAGCAGCAGCUUUGACUGAUCUAUAUAAACAGUGUGUGUUGCUUUUAGUCCUUCCUCGAGGCUGGAAUGAUCGUCGGAGGUUGGGACAAGCACGAGAAAGGUAGCAUCUUCGGUGUGCCAAUCGGUGGAACUUUACUCCGCGUGCCUUUCACGAUUGGAGGUAAAUCGAAGCGUGUUUAGAAAUUCCAGUUCUUAUGCCUUCCCUCUUUCCUGCCAGGCUCUGGAUCGACCUAUAUAUUUGGUUUUCUCGAUCAAGCGUGGAGGCCAGGAAUGAGCAAACAAGAAGCACAAGUAUGUCCUCCAAAUUUCUCUCCACUUUCCUGAUCUUUUCUGGCAGGACCUCGUCGUUAAAGCCGUGUCUCUCGCCAUGGCUCGUGAUGGCGGCAGUGGUGGCGUCGUGCGAACUGUGACAGUGAGUAGAAUGUCGCGAGAACAUACUUUCUCUUGUAUUAAGUGGAACUUCCUGGUGUGAUUUCCAGAUAAGCUCGGCGGGCGUGACUCGGGAUUAUUUCAGCCACGACAGGCUACCAAAGUGGCACGAGGACAUACCGGCGGGCGUGUCUACGGCUCUCGAGGCUCUGGAAAAUGCCAACGGUGAAUGGAUGGUUGUCUAGAACCGAAUUCAGGACUUUAAAUCCGUGAAAAGCUUGUUCAAGUUUUGAAAACUUGUUUGUUGAUGGACAUGGAGGUGGUCUGCAAUUCCUGGUGUUCUUAAUUUUGAAAACAAGAAGACGAUCUGUAAGUCGCUGUAGUUAUACAAGACAACCAACUUAAGACUCGUACUAAGAGAAACGUCGGUGCCAGAGCUUGCCCGUUCAACAAUUUCCAUGGAAGCGUGAGCAACUUUGUUUCGUACUAAAUGGCAAUCUCCAAGCAUUCCCUGCCCCUUUGAGGCUUUCGUGCAGCUGUUGGCUGAGUGCUACAGGUCAUCUAGUUCUUAUGUGUAAGCAAAUGUCAGAUGGAGGUCGGCGGUUCCUCCCUUGCGGCCUAGUAUAUAAGCUGUUCCAUCUAGUUCUGAUUGAUCCAUUUGCAUAACAUAACCCUCACUAAAAUCUCAUUGAAAUAUUCGAAAAUCCAGAAAAGUCAGCUGAUUGAAAAUAGAAACAAGCAAACAAUUCGAUAUAGCCCUAAUCAAGUUGGCACAGCCUUUUCCGCAAGAAGAACUUCCAGUCUGACGAGCUCAAACAAUGCCGCCAUCCGGGAGGUAAGGCAUGGUUUCCAGGAGGCUCAAUCUCCCAGUCCGCCCCAACAGUGUCUUGCCGCUCAUCGAAACAAAGGUCUCGCGUCCCUCGCGCAAGCAACCAAAGCACUCAGAUACGCAAAGCCCGUCUUGAAAGAGCCCUCUAUAGCCCCUCUACAUGCAAAGAUCACCGACGUCCACGACACAACGUCCCGGCAUUCUUUGGAUGAUUCUCUUGGAUUCCUGGAGAUUCCCGCGGUGGAAGAAUGCCGCCAGGAUGGAGUUGAGACGAUGUCUCUCUCGGGCAUGAGAGCGAGGAUUUCUUGGGCGAGGCCCAGAUGCCCUUGUUGGGUAUAUCCCGCAAGGAGUGAGUUCCAUCCUCAAGGUGCCCUCUUGAUGGCGAUCAUCGUGUUCCCAGUCACAAGAUCGCGCUGCUGGAGCCUGGAGAAGAUCUCGCGCGCUUGAACCAACCUACAAGGAGGCCCAAGAUUGCAUUGGAGGAGCGGGCAUAAGCCAGGAUACAAGUUGUCCCAGAACAUCUCGCCAACUCAUCGCCAGAGCGGAUCGGAGAAGACACGGCCACGAUAUAAAUUUCUUAGCUUGAUUCUUUCCAUUCUUUUUGUAACGCAGAAGAUAUGAAACAAAAUUUUGUGCGCUAUAAUUAUAUAUAAUAAUCAAGGAAGAAUCGUUAGAGGAUUUAUAUUUUUCUUUGUCUUGUUCUUACUCCAUGGAAUCCAUUUUUACAUGUUCACAGACACAGGGAUCAACCAGGACGAAUUUUACGUUCUUCCCAAAGACAAUGCUAGUUGUUCCAAGAAUCCAAGUUUUGAAAGCUUGUUUGUUGAUGGUGGUGGAGGGAUGUUCUUAAUCUUUGAAAGCAAGAAGACGAGUUGGAUGUCAACUCUGUUUUAAGUAUCCAAGAUAAUUGGUGGCAUCCACCUUGGAAGGGGACUGGACGAGCACGAAGCAGAGUAGCGCAACGAACACCAAAGCUCUCACCAUAUUGAACCUUUUGUAUGAAGUGGGUUGUUGAAUGUUUUGUGCUCGUAUGGAUGCUUGGAGAUUGCCAUUUAUACUAUACGGCGUACAAAACAAAGUUGCUCACGCAAUUGCAACUUCCAUGGAAAUUGUUGAAUGGGUAAAGUUCUGACACCGACAGUAUGAGUCUAAGUUGUGGCUCUUAGUUGCCGUGGCAGCAUCCUGGGCCCUGUGGCUGUGACUGGUGAAUAGCUCUGCAUCUUGAACGUCCUGUGAAUCUGUAGAUAUUUUACAGAACUUUAUGGACGAACAGUUGGAGAAUUGAAAAUCAAAAAUCAUGUAUUGUUUAUGAGUUGAUAAAAUAAACUCAAAGACAAUGCAUAUUUAUUCAUGUUCAGCUCAUUACUAUAUGAAUAGCAGUAACAGGUCAAUUAAUGAUUGACAUUGUUUCUGGUGUAUGUUCAUAUGAUAAUGCGAACAAGUGGAUAAUCCUAUGUCUCGUACUUAAUUUUGAACCCCUUGAACGUGACUGGUCCAGAGCUGCCUCUAGGAACAAGAGUGACAACAAUGUAGUCUGCAUCUUCCAGCCCUAGCUGCUCUAGCGUGUCACUUAUUCCUAGCCUCACCUCCGUCUCCAUAAUGUGCCCCUUCCCUGCAGAGUUGGGAACGUUCACAAAAGUUCCAGCAAACUCCACCACAUUGACCGGCGUGUUUUCAUUCGCAUUUGGAUAGUUGAUGUAGACAUCGAAUUUGGUGGCCUUGUUGUAAUCCAGCUCCACUCCUUGGAUCACCAGGAUCUCCUCAACUUCAUCAUCAUCAUCAUCAUCAUCAGAUUUAUCACCACCUCCACCUGAGAACAGGGUUGGCAGGUUAUUGAGCGGCACGUAACUGAACAUCCUGAACAAGGGCCCCAGCGCCUUGUUCAGCCUGGUCAGCUUGUUCUUCAGUGGCCGCUUCACCUUAGUGCUGAACACACUCUCCAGUUUCUGGAUCUUGCCGCUCACUGCCUCCCCGAACUCUUCAAUCACAUCAGCCGCUGCAGUUGGAGGUGAAUCUGGCGAAGCAGAGACUAGAGGCUUCGAAUUCGCUCCAGCAACGGUGGAAGGCCGAGCAGUCACCCAGGCAUUGUGGAUGUCCUGGUAACGGUACCCCAGCUGCUCCGUUUUAAGCGCAUCCCGGACCCGAACCCGAACCAGGCGCCUUUUCUCAUCGUAGAACAAGAACGUUGCAUUGAGCCAAUCCGGAUCUUUGUAAUCCCUUCUGGGGCGGAAGGGCCCCUUCCUGUUGCGCGGCAGCGUCUUCCACACGGUCCACAAUCGGUCGAGGUUGGCGUGGUGAGGGUAGAAGAUGGGAUCCCUAGCCGCGGAGUAGAACACCCCCAUGUCUUCAAAAUGGGGUUUCCCGCUGCUCCCCGUCCAUUUGUGAACAGUGUUAUGUGGGGCACUUUCUAUUGUUCCUAGUCCAUCCGGCUUACUGUCACCUGGGUGGUACUCCUUACCAUAAAACAAUCUUGUCGUUCUGGCGUUCACAAGCUGCUUGUACAUGAGCGCGUUGUUCUCUUCGCGCUGCUUCGAAUCGCUGAUCGGGGCACCAUCGCCAGGGACGAAAUUGAGAUCCGCGAGCCGGGGCGGGAAAUGAUCUGGAUUGCGGAAAUCGUCAAACAGGACAGGAUUGGUCAAGUACAUCUGCGGGAUGACAUUCGGCAGUGGAUCUGAAGCGGAUUGAUUGUCCCAGUUCCAGAACGGGAGCGCGAAGGUGUCGUCUUCGAUCAAACUGGCCAGGAUUCGCUCGUGGAAGUAGAGGAACCAGCGGUGCCAGGGAAAGAAGAACCAGUUCCUGUGGAUGUGGAGCCUUUCGGUGCUGUUGGCGUACAAGAAUGCGCCAUCGCAGUAGGCACAGUGGACAUUGGCUUGCUGGUCAAAAUUGCGGGGAUCGUCCGGAGGAAGAGCUUUCAUCAGCUCGUAGGCUCGAAUGUACUUGGCGAUGUAGUCCGAGCUGAGGAGGUGAACGGGCUGCCUCAGGCGACUGGGGAGCUGGGUGUUGUGGACGAAGUCGACAACCGAUGUUGUGCUUCGAGGCGGGCAGCAACCGACCUUUCCAGCUGGAGUUUCAGCUUGGGUGCACCACUCUAGAUCAAUUGUUCCGUUGUCAAUGGGUCGUGCCCAUGCUUGCUGCUCCUGCUGGAGACUCCCAGUCGCUAGGCCCAGGGAUGCCUCUCUUCUUCCUGUUGCUGUGGAAAGUAAAAGAAAGCACAAGAUUUGAACUGGAAAAUAGAACUUGGUCACGAGAAGCCUGGAUAACAAACUUUCGCCAACCAUUCGGGGAAGAACAUUGUUCAGAAUCCUGGCGCUUGAUGGUGUUCUUCCCAUUUCCUCUUCUCGAGCUUCUGCUUUUUCUUCUUCCGCUCAAUCUGCUCAAUGGGAACUCAAAACAUGCUCCCACUCAGCCUGACUCAGAAACACAGUGCCCUUUUCAGAGCCUCUGUGUUCGUUCAUCAAAUGUUUGAGUUAAAUUUGCAUUAUGAAACAUAAACCCUGAAUUCAUUUCUAAUGGAGUUAUCUCCAGUGCUUAGCUGAAUGCGAAGCCAAACUUACUUCCUUUAAGGUACGCGUGUCAUCGUCAGUUAUAACUUUAAGGGUACAACGUUUGCCCACUAAAUAUGUUGAAGCUAUAACCUCAUAUAUGUAUUAUGUACCAUACUACAAAUUCAUUGGGACAUCUGUCUUCUUAUAACAUAAGGGUUUGAAUCUCAAAAACUAAGGUGGCAAGAAAAUUCAGUGAAAUCAAAUUUUCAUUGAAAAUUCACUGAAAAUUCGGAAAAUGAUUAAAUAAAUUUCUUUUGUAAUGUAGCUUGUAAGAGUUGGAGCACUGAAAACCUUCUAUUAAUAAUGGCUAAAAUUAAUAACACAAUUAGAGUGUAAGGAGAAUUAUAGCCAAAAUUGAGCACAUUGUGCACUAAUUUUGUAAUUAACCUUGGAAAAAGGGCAGUUGCUCAAUGAGAGAGCCCUUAGUGGCUAUUCCCUCAAGGUUUCAAGGAUCCACGGUGACAGUAUAUCCAAAUCUCAUCCCAUGAUCAUAUCCCCCGUUCAAAGAUGUCAAUGUUCUUAUUGACUAUUGAUUAACAACCCCUACUGAGCCAAAGGGAACCAGCACCUCCAUUUUCGCACUCAAUCUACCAAUCCUUCUAUUGUGUAGACUAGUUAUUCCAAGGACAUUGACUAUUGACUAACAACCCCUACUGAACCAAAGGGAACCAACACCUCCAUUUUCGCACUCAAUAGUAGGGGCCAAAGGGAACCAGCACUUCCAUUUCCGCACUCAAUCUACUAAUCCUUCCAUUGUCACUCAAUCUACCAUUGUGUAGACUAGCUAUUCCAAGGACAUUAACAAUCUCAUCCCAUGAUCACAUGCGCUACACUCACCCCCCCUUCAGAGAUGUCAAUGUCCUCAUUGACUAUUGACUAACAACCCCUACUGAGCCAAAGGGAACCAGCACUUCCAUUUCCGCACUCAAUCUACCAAUCCUUCGAUUGUGUAGACCAGCUAUUCCAAGGACAUUGACUAUUGACUAACAACCCUUACUGAGCCAAAGGGAACCAACACCUCCGGGAACCAACACUUCCAUUUCUGCACUCAAUAGUAGGGGCCAAAGGGAACUAACACUUCCAUUUCCACACUUAAUCUACUAAUCCUUCCAUUGUCACUCAAUCUAUCAAUCCUUCCAUUGUGUAGACCAGCUAUUCCAAGGACAUUGACUAUUGACUAACAACCCCUACUGAGCCAAAGGGAACCAACACCUCCGGGAACCAACACUUCCAUUUCUGCACUCAAUCUACUAAUCCUUCCAUUGUCACUCAAUUUACCAAUCCUUCUAUUGUGUAGAUCAGCUAUUCCAAGGACAUUGACUAUUGACUAACAACCCCUACUGAGCUAAAGGGAACCAGCACCUCCAUUUCCGCACUCAAUCUACCAAUCCUUCUAUUGUGUAGAUUAGCUAUUCCAUGUGAGGCAAAAAUCCACCCCAAUCCUUCCAUUGUGUAGACUAACUAUUCCAAGGCCAUUGCAACCCCUACUGAGCCAAAGGGAACCAACAUCUUCAUUUCUGCACUUAAUCUACCAAUCCUUCCAUUGUGUAGACUAGCUAUUCCAUGUGAGGUGAGCCAAAGGGAACCAGCACCUCCGGAACCAACACUUCCAUUUCCGCACUCAAUCUACUAAUCCUUCCAUUGUCACUCAAUUUACCAAUUUUUCCAUUGUGUAGACCAGCUAUUCCAAGGACAUUGACUAUUGACUAACAACCCCUACUGAGCCAAAAGGGAACCAACACUUCCAUUUUCGCACUCAAUCUACCAAUCCUUCCAUUAUGUAGACCAGCUAUUCCAUGUGAGGCAAAAAUCCACCCCAAUCCUUCCAUUGGUGUUCCAUUUCCGCACUCAAUCUACCAAUCCUUCCAUUAUGUAGACCAGUUAUUCCAUGUGAGGCAAAAAUCCACCCCAAUCCUUCCAUUGUGUAGACCAGUUAUUCCAAGGACAUUGCAACCCCUACUAAGCCAACCCCUACUAAGCCAAAGGGAAUCAGCAUCUCCAUUUCCGCACUCAAUCUACCAAUCCUUCUAUUUCCGCACUCAAUCUACCAAUCUUUCCAUUGUGUAGACUAGUUAUUCCAUGUGAGACAACUAGUUAUCCACCCGUACCGCAGUCCCACGGUGGAUACCUUCGUACGAUUUUCAAAUUUAGGGGUAGGAAUAUACCUUGCUCAAGGGUAAUCAAUGAGAAUCGAAUCCGUGUUAUUUGCUUCGAUACCAACUAUAACACACUUUAUCUCUCUCCCCUUAAGCCAACUGGAAAAGGGGCAAUUUCUUGAUAAGAGAACCCUUAGUGGCUAUUUUAUCCCCAUUUAUCCCCCAAGGUUCCAAGCUCUAUGGUGACAGUAUAUCCAAAUCUCAUCCCAUGAUCACAUGCGCUACACUUAGGUCCUUUUUAUAUUAUUUACAAAAAAAUUUAUUCUCAUGAGUUUCCAUAGUAUUUUCUUUGUAAUAACAAAAAAUAAAGACUAGAUAAGCUUGGAUAAUUAUGUAGCAAUCUUAUCAUAAACUGACAUAACACAUUUAUUAAGAUGAGAGUUUUCUUGACAUAAAUUUUAUGUAUGUGGCAAUAUAUGAUCUGAUCACUUUUUUUUAAUUGUUUGUAGUGUUCACAUUCAACUCUGUUGUUAUUUACUUAAUUAAAUUUUAAUAAUAUUAAAACAAAUGCUACAAUGCCAUAGUAUAUUAUAGUUUUUCUAUUUAGGCUGCAAUCAAAAUUAAAAUUUCAAUUAAUUAAAAAUUCAAUUGAUAACAUACUACAGCUACAAAAUUUUGUUACAUUAUUGUGCUUGAAGUGCAAUAAUCAUGAUAAACCCUAACUUGCUAGUAAACCCUAAACCUUAUAUAUAAAUAAACAAGAAAUAAGCUGCUAUAGUCAUGCAAGAUAAGGUUUUGCUUAACUUGGGUGAAGUUUAAUUCAAAGUGUCAGUUGACAAGUGUUAUUCCAAGAACAUCUCGUGGUAUGGGGUGAUCCGCUGGAACUUAUUCUUGAGCAUCUGAAUUGGAGGGUUGGGAUUUUUGUUUUGGACAACAGCUGGGCAACUGCAAAGGGAGAGCUUGAAGCCAUGUAUCCAUGCUUGGUAGUGGACAUUGCUUUUGUCACAUUGUCACUGUUGUUAAAUGCUUAAAUUUAUGGUUUGCUCUGAUAACACUCAGUGAGUUCUUCCUGAUCAGCCAGAUUACGACCUUUUCCAAUAUCAUCAUGUCAUGUUCAUGACUAUUUUUCACUUUGUGGGGCCAUUUAUGAAAACAGAAAUCAAGAGGUCCACUCAUCGGGCAUCUGCAACAAGCGGGUCCUUGUUGAGCUGCGGGUGGCACUUAGUUGCCGUGGCAGCAUCCUGAUCCCUUUGGCUGUGAGUGGUGAAUAUAGCUCCACAUGUAGCAUCCAUCUAGAACAUCUUGCAUAUUUUGUGAAUCUGUACAUUUUUUUUAUAGAAUAUUACAAACAAGCAGUUACGUUGUUUGAUUUCCGAUUCAAGUAAGUGCUGCUGCUUCUCUCGCGAUACGACUGCAUGAUUGUUUUGUGGGAUAUAUGAGUAGUAAUGUUCAUAAGCUGUAGGUAUCCAACUUACUGUAUCACCUAUGAAAAUUCAAGUCUAGAUAAAAUCAAGUCAUAGACACUAUUUAUUUAUGAUUUUCAUUUCUGUUCAGCUCAUUACCAUAAAGGAUGUGAAUAGGAACAGGCUGCGAUGUAAGAGAACACAACUAAUGAUUGACAUUGUUUGACUAUCGUGUAUCUUCAUCUUCACAUGAUAAUACGAACAAGUGGAUAAUGGUUAUCUACCGCUUACAAGGAACACCAUGCUUGUGGUUAGUGCUAGUCAAGUCAGCAGAGUUAUAUAUAUAAGAGUUUCAAGAGUCUUUAAUAUAGGGCAUUUUUGGGGCAACUGUCAAUUUGCAAUUCUCAAUUCAGCUCCAGCAACAAUUCAUGGUACGGAGUGAGCCAUGUGCGGCGAUAAGCAUUAGUUAAGGAACUGCAUAGAAAGCUUAAAGCCGUGUAUCCAUUAUCAAUAGAGCAUAUUGCUCUUUAGGCAUUCGUGACCAUAAUGCAACAUGCUUAAAUUUAAGUUUUUUUAGCCAACCAGCAGGGAUCAUCCAGAUUGAGGAACCGUCUUCACAAUAUUCAACAAAAUUCGUGCAAGACUUUUUUCUUUCACAUGUUUCAUGAUGUGAAAGCAUACCAGGAAUUACACGCUUUAAGUUAGCUUAGGUUUCGGAACAAUCUGGCCCUUAUCAGUAAGUGGUCCACUCAACGGGCAUCUACAGCGAGCGGGUUAUUUGGUGAGUGGAUGGGAUGUUGUCUAGAGGGAUGUUGUGAUUAUGUGGUUAGGAGUGAUUUUAGUUGCAUCUGAUAGUCACAGUGAGCAUUUCCAUGACGACUCUGCACCACGUCUUCUAUCAGAUGUGAAUUCAUAGUUAGAGAUCCAAAUUUCCAAAAGCAAGAACAUUUUCAGGCAGCUAAACUCAAUAGAUUUUCAGUCAUGGAUUCCACACUCGUAAUUGAACAAGGGCCCCAGCGCGUAAUUGAGCAAGGUGUUAUUGUUAUUGAGCCUGGCAAGCUCAAGGUCGACUGGCACAUUCCAAUCUUGGCGCAGAUCUCGUCGUCAUCGAGCACAGCUUCCAGAUUUGCCAACACCUGUGGCCCAUACUCCACCACCAGCAGCUUGCACUGCACAGAAACAUGUCACACUCGCCUCCUUUAAAAACCAGCUCGAAUUGCCAUUACCUCAUCCUCAUGGUUGUGCAAUUUCUGGCAGUUGGCCAGCAGGAAUUCAAUCAGCUUCUCCUGGUUGGUGAUCGAUCAAAGCACAAAAGCAUUCAAGACGAUAGCUUGGAAACGGUUUUCUUCUCGUCUCAUGAACAGUGUUUUUGGAUGUUUCAAGGAGAAAGGUGGCUUCAAGGAAUAUGUGCUUGAGAUAUGUAAGGUACAAGUGAAUGAUUAGUUGCCAUCUUUAAAGGGUGAAUUAAAUUUAGAUAUACUAUCACUAUGCAUACUCGGGUGGCAAUUGUACAAGUGACUAUCAAUUCAUCAACAGCAUAGGUUGUACCAACUUGUUUUCUGGUUUUCGGGACUUAUGACCAUCGCAAGAGACACCAAUGCUUGUAACUCGGGUGUCGGAUGGCAAAGUGCCCUAAUUGGCUGAAGUGUUAAGGAAUGGAUACUGGUAUCUAUAAUUGCCUAGCUAAACAUUGUGAUGCGUUCUCGUGAAUCUCAUCAAUAAAACAUCCAGUACUUUUAUGAAUUGGCCUUUGUGUAACUAGCAAUUGCACUUCGAGAUGUGAUAACUUAUAAGUGGUCUGCCCUACCCCUUUCACUCCUGAAAUAAGGCUUUCGUGCAGAGUGUUGCAGGUCAUCUAGUUCUUAUGUGUAAGCAAAUGUUGGAUGGAAAACUCCCACUGUCACAAACAUGGAUCACGAUCAAACGCUCGAAUUUCGUUGAAGUCUCGUUGAGCCUCUUCUGAAAGAAGGAAAAUCCGAAAAUCCAGAAAAGUCAACAAUUAGAUAUAAUUUGACUUCACUGACUGAAAUAAAACCAGGAUAAGGAUGGUGUGGGGUUUGGCGAAGGUCCGGAUUCCGGAACAAUCCACUUGCGAAGAAAUCUUGUUCCAAUUCUGUGCAACAAGAGGACGUUAAAACAGUGUAAGAACUAACGUUCAGGGGCGUCUGAAAGAAUCAGUAAGUGUGAACUCGAUCACAAAGAAACUCUUGAGUGUUGAUGCAAAACUGAAGAUCAUCGCCACCACCUAGCCAAAAGUAAAGCACGCCGCACCCGACAUCAGCUUAGUCAAGCUUGGAAAGUCGCUUCCAAACCAAGUCCGCGUACUUGGAGAACUACAAGAUUAUUUACACUCGUUUUCCUUUGCUCGAAACUAAUAACUAAGAAGCACUGUUUCAAUUGAAGCAAUUGGUAAUCAAGUUGGCACAGCCUUUUCCGCAACAAGAAUGCUUCCCAAAACUGCGCAGUCUGACGAGCUCAAACCAUGCCGACUCCUUUGCGAGCCGAGAAAUCCCCGGCGAGCAGCGCCAUCCGGGACGUAAGGCAUGGUUUCCAGGAGCUCUCUCGCCUGGCUCAAUCUCCCAGUCCGUCCCAAAAGAUCCAGCAUCGAGCAGUAGUGUCUGGGCUGAGGCUUGACUCCACAGUCGCCGCUCAUUGAAACGAAGAUCUCGUGUCCCUCGCGAAGCCGCCCUGCGUGGCUGCAAGCAACCAAGGCACUCAAAUACGCAACUUGGUCAGGGAGAAGCCCGUGCUGGAUCAUCUCACGAAAGAGAUCAGUCGCUUGCGCUCCAUCGCCGGACUGGCUACACGCGGAGAUCACCGACGUCCACGACACAACGUUCCAUUCGGGCAUUCUCUGGAAGAUCCUCUUGGAUUCCUGGAGAUUCCCGCGGUGGGAGAAUGCCGCCAGGAUGGAGUUCCAGGAGACGAUGUCUCUCUCGGGCAUGAGAGCGAGGAUUUCUUGCGCGAGGCCCAGAUGCCCUUGUUGGGUAUAUCCCGCAAGGAGCGAGUUCCAGGUCCAUAGCUCCCACUCGGGCAUACUCUCCAGCAUCCAUCUUGCUUCCUCGAGGUGCCCUCUUGACGCCAUCGCCGCGAUCAUCGUGUUCCAAGUCACAAGAUCGCGCUGCUGGAGCUGGGAGAAGAUCUCACGAGCUUUAUCCAGCUUAUGGCGCGCGACAAGGAGGCCCAAGAUUGCAUUGGAGGAGACGACGCUGGGCUCGGGCAUGGACUCGUAAAUCUGGAUUGAAUCCGCGACAUCGCCCCUCUGUGCGAGCGCCUGGAUCAUGAUCGUCCAUGCCACAGCAUUGCGUUCGGGCAUCUUGUCAAAGAGAUCCAGGGCGGCGGCGAGAUCUCUUGCCGCAAGACAAGCCUGGAGCAUCGUCGCCCACGACACGAGAUUGCGCUCUGGCAUUUGGGCGAAGAUCAAGCGAGCGCCACGAGCGUGAUGAUCUCCUUUCUGGGCAUAUGCUGCAAGCAUAGUGUUCCAGGAGAUUAGAUCGCGCUCCGGCAUACGAUCAAACACCUCAAUCACCCCAUCCAGAUCGCCAGUUUGCGCACAGACUGCCAGGAUUGUGUUCCAGGAGACCACAUCGCGCCUGACCAUGGCGGCAAACAGCUUCUUUGCCUCGAAAAAAUGCCCAUUUUGGGCAUACGCCGCGAGCAUCGUGUUCCAGGAGAAGAGGUUCCACUCUGGUGCCGCAUCAAAGACAUUCUUGGCCUGCUCGAUCUUGCCGCUUGCGCUAAACCCAAAGAUCAUGAUCGUCCAGGAGAAGACAUUGCGAUUGCUGAUCCCAGCGAAGAUCCCCCACGCAGCCUCCAGAUCCCCGCACUUUCCAAACAUCUCCACUGCCAGAUUCGCAAGGAAGGUAUCCCGGGAGAGAUCGAUCGCGGCAGACGCAAGGACCUCUCGGCCCCGUGCCAGAUCUCUUCCAUCGCCACAUGAUUUUAGGGCAGAGGCAAUGCUUUCCCGGGAAAGAAAAGCAUCUCGCAUAUUCCCAAUACUUAAAUUUUGCUCCUCUGUUUCCCUCUUUCUCUGUUCCUUGAUUAGAAGUUACAGCGAAGAAAGCAAGAUCCUUUCCUUGGGCGCGAUUGUACGCCUUCGCGGAGCACGAUAUAAUCACUCAGUCGCGAUGGAUCAAUCAAUUCGAGCCAAUUCCUCCUCUUUCUCACCGCACUCUGUCCGGAUCAGCGAUGGCGAGGAGGAGAAUGAGCAAUAUGGCUAUGGCUGCCUUCAGUGGUAUCACGCUCCUCUGUGGGAUCGUGGUUCUGGGCACCGGGAUCUGGCUCUCCACCAAGCACAGCACCGAUUGCGUCCGCUUCCUCGAGUGGCCGAUCAUCGUCCUGGGCGUCGCCAUCACUCUAAUCUCUCUGGCGGGGAUUGCCGGCGCGCUGACGAUGAACGGUGCGCUGCUCGCAUUCUACACCAUCUUCAUGCUCAUGGCGAUCCUCACGCUCAUGGCAUUCGUCCUCUUCGCGUUCGUGGUGACCUCGGGCCAGAACGGCCAUGGAUUGGUGGGCAAAGUCUACAAGGAAUUCGAGUUCAAUGACUACUCCGACUGGCUCCGGAAUCGCGUCGAGGAUCACAAGAGCUGGAGCCUCAUCACCCUCUGCCUCCGCGACGCCAAGACCUGCGACGACAUGGCGGAGAGUUACAACACCCUGGACAAGUUCAACAUGGCGGAUCUCUCAGCGGUCGAGGUAAGCUCAUCGAGCAAUCUAAAGUUUCUUUCUUCCGAGAGCGAUCGAUCGAUCGAUUACUCGUGUUGUGAUCAGUCUGGAUGCUGCAAGCCUCCCUUCGCUUGCAAUUACCAGUGGAGGAACGCCACCAACUGGUUCCACGCCCUCACUCCGGAUGCCAAUCCCGAUUGCCGGCGCUGGAACAACGACGAUCUCUGCUUCAACUGCGAUUCGUGCAAGGCGGGGCUGCUCCAGCAAGUGAAGAGCCGCUGGAGGACCGUGGCGAUCAUCGACGUGGUGGUGCUGGCGAUCUUGAUCCUCGCGUACGCCCUCGCGCUGAGCGCGUUCCGGGGCGCCAAAGCAAGGUAGUGACGAUCGUCUCCCUCGUUUUGCAUUGUUUGUGCGGUGUGGAUAUUUGUUUUCCAAGUGUGCAAGGAAGAAUAUUCUAAGGGAUAAGUUCGAAAUUUGAAAGUUUGCGCGCGCGUUUCCAGGUUUUAGGGCACGGGUUUUAAGAGCACAUGCCGCUCAGUGUGCGCAGUUAUGUUGCGCAAACAAACCGAGAGCUCCCAAAUCUGGAACUCCUGCCAUGAUCAGGCGCUGCGGUAACUCGCGCGCGACAGAAUCAGAUGCUACUGCCGCGCCCACGCCAAGAGUUACAAUCAAAACAAAAGACCACCAGAAAAUUCGGUCAAAAAUCUUGCGCACAAGACCCAUCAAUCAAUCCGGUCUCUCGCACUGAACCCAAUUGAAUGAAAUGAAUCGAGGCCCCCUCCCAAAUGUUUGUGCCCGGCCCCAAGAACCCUAACCGCCAGCCGGGGGGGCUUAACGAGAAACCGUUCAAAUCCACAAUCCAACGGCCCAGCAUUAACUCCGGCCACGUGUCGCCAAUGCCGGGGCUCACACUGCCCCCGCCACGCAUCCGACGGCUCUGGGCUGGACAGGUGCCUCGACCGCGCAAUGCCAAUCCGACGGUGCACACUGUCCACGUGACACCGUCAGAUGGCCAUCCGACGGUUGCGACCGGAAAAGGAGAAACGUUUAUUUUUUGUAUUUGGCCUAAAAAUAUGAAAUUUCACUUGUGGUGUUGGGCGAGGAGGGAAAGAGAGGAGGAGAAGAAAAGAGAGGGUGUGAUCGUCUCCUUUGAGUCAAGGUAUGUGUAUUUUUGAUUAUUCAGAGGAAGAAGAACAACAACGCCAAACGAUGAUCACCGUGAAUUCCAAACAGCAACAACAGCCAGUAGCCGCAGGGGUAAUGGACAGGGAGCACGAUCACGAUCAGCGUGAUCGCGACCAAAUGGAGGAUGACAACGUCAUGGGAUCCGUGAAUUCAUCGUCGGUGGAGGACCAGAGCUCCGUCAAGUCGGAAUCCCUGUCGCCGCCCUGCCCAAACUCCAAGAUCAAGAUCAUGUGUAGCUAUGGCGGGAGGAUUUUGCCGCGGCCGCACGACGGGCAGCUCCGCUACGUGGGCGGCGAGACGAGGAUCUUGCUGUGGCAGCGGAGCAUUUCCUUUGGGGAGAUGAUGGCCAAGCUCGUGGCGAUGGUGGGGAGGAGCGUGGCGGUUAAGUACCAGCUCCCAAACGAGGAUUUGGACGCGCUCAUCUCGGUGGUCUGCGAGGAGGAUUUUGGGAGUAUGAUCGACGAGUAUCUCCGGAUGGAGGGCCGAGAUAGCAGCGCUCGUCUCAGGCUCUUCUUGUUCUUCAUUCCGGCACCGACUCCACCGUCAUCGUCCUCUCCCAGACUGAGCGAAUCGAGAUCUCUGGACCAGCAGUUCAUCGAAGCGCUGAAUGGAAUGCCGGUGGCGAGCGGUGGAAACUCUGGUGCUGCUCCUCGGCCAUCCAGAGCUCUCGACGAGGAUCUCGAGUGUGGUCGUCCUGUGAAGCCGAUCAAGAUGCACAGGCAGCUCUCGGCCACGGACAGGAUCGCGGAGACGGCUUCCGGCUCGCCUAGCAGCAGGAGAGUAUCACCGCGGACGUCUCCAAGAGCUCCCGACGAGUGCCCCUCGGUGAGGAGCGCUAGAUCAUCACUCCUCCAGCAGCAGCUGCAGGACUCUCUCCACGAGCCGUGCAAGCAGCUAGCAGUAGCGACGAGGGAGAAUUCGGCUGGAAGGAUCCCGCAGGAGAUGAUCGAGCCGGUGAUGAUACACCACUACUAUCCAGGCACCGAUCCUUGCUCGAGACAGGUCUUCAGCAACGAGCCACCGACACCUCCGGACAUGUCCAAAGUCGCCCACCACGAAGGAGAAUCGCCCAAGAAGGCGGACCAGCACAGCCAAGAUCUCCAGGCCGCCAAUGGAUUUAUCUGCGUUUCGACCACCUGGUGCGCAGGAAGCGAAAUUCUUGUCAACCGGCAGUACAGUCCUGCUGCCGUCCACCAUCGCCACGGCCACCCGAUAGCUCCAGCGAUAUGUGAUCAGCAGCUCUACCCGGUGAUGGCGUCCGCCACCGCCUGCUGCUCCUGCCGGGAGACGAGAACUUCCAAGCCUGGCCCUUCUCCAUCUCGGUUCCGUGACGGACUCCAGCAGCAGCAGCAGCCACAGCAGCAGAUUUUUCACGAGCAAGUUGACGACAACACCAGGAUGUUGUUGAGGCCGGUUUUAGUUCCACAGCAGCAGCACCAACAGCAGCAGCCAUUUUAUGAGCCUGUCCACCACCAUCACCGUCUUGUAGCUGAAAAGAAUGGCUCGAGACUGAGCGAUUUGGACAGGCGUCAUCACUUGAAUCACCACCACCACCAUCACCCACAGCAGCAGCAGCAACAUCAGCCUCCACCACCACAGCAGCAGCAGCAGCAAACAAGCUAGCCCACUCUGCUAGUUUUGAUUGAUCGUUUAGCUGCUUGCUUUACUCGUCUAAAACUUUCCGUGUCAGAUCUAAGUAUAAGCGAUGAAAUAGUUUGUUUCUUGUCCCUCGUCCUCCUGUGGCUGAAAAGAGAAGGAUCAUAUUUCCCGGACAAAGCAAUUUGGCAGUACACACCUGGCGAGCUGCUUGCGUCCGCUUUUGCCACUCCUAUGGCUACAAACUCUAACAAAGCUUUGCCGAGUUUGUCUGCAGCCAUGUUGCUUGAGGAGCUUCACUUGCUUUUCUCAGCUUGAAUCUUCAACCACGUCGAUCCCGGCCUCCUCGUAAGUUAAGAUAUCUGCAUCCUUGUCGAAGAGGUCCCAAUCCGGCUCUCCCCAGUUCAUGAACGCUUUUGCUCGAUCCAGUCUUGCAUUCACGAUGUCCCAGUUUACUAGAUGCUCCAGGAAUGUAGACACGUAGUCUGGCCUGUUGUUCUGCGGGAUGUGAGUUAACAUUAUUAGCUCGAGAGAUGGGAGAAACUCUAAUCUAUACUCACUUGGAAAUCGAGAUAGUAAGCGUGCUGCAAAAACCAAAGAAGCGAGCGAGUUAGAUCCAAACAAAGAGAGUAAAAAAGUCUUUAUACCUCCCAAACAUCGAGCACAAGCAAUGGCUGCAAUCGAGAGGUAGCGGUGACAUGUUAUUCAAAGGAAAAAAGAGAGAAGAAAGAAUUUCAAAGGCUUACAAUGUGAUCCCAAAUGAGAGGAUUAAUAGCGUUUGGAGUUUUCUCAACGACCAGCUUCGCUUCCUUCACUGCAGGUAUUCUCAAGUCACAAUCCACAACAAAACGGAUAAAACGAAAGAGAUGAAAGAAAAAAUAGGAACUCACGAGCAAGCCAUGCCCAACCAGCACCAAAUUGAGAAGCUGCCGCGAGCUUGAACUCCUUGACAAAAUUAUCGUAAGAGCCAAGCUGCUUGUCAAUAAGCUCGGCAAUCUCGCCAGUCGGAGAUUUGCCACCUCCAGGCUUGAGAGAAGUGAAGAAGAAAUCGUGAUUCCAAGCCUGAAAAACAACAAAGACAGGUUAUCAUCAGCUCAAAGAAAAAAAAAAGUUCUUAGUCCGAGAGAAAAAGAAACAAGGAAGACAAAAGAGCUCGGUUCUACUUAGUCUGAGAGAAAGAGAAAAAAGAAGGAAGAAAAACGGAGUACCUGCGCUGCAUUGUUGAAUGCCGGUUGGGGGCUUCCUCUAUUGUAACUUAUCUUGACAAUGUCUUCCAAGAGAUAGCCCUCGAGCGGAGUAUUUGCGAUUUGCCUGUUUAGAUUCUCAAUGUAUCCUCGCUGGUGCUUUCCCCAGUGGACCUCCAGCGUCUUCUUGCUCAUGUAAGGCUCCAGCGCACUCUGGAGGAAUGGAUCCAGUGAGGAAGCUAAAACCCUAGACAAAACCCACCGAUUCGUAGGGAAGCGCCGGCAAUGCAAACUUCGCCCGCGCGAUUCCGCCGCGGUUGCAUUGCGAUCUCUUCGACCCGCCGCGAUUGGAAGAAAUCCGUGGAGGAGCGAUGGAGGCGAUCGCCGCCGCCGCCGUCGCGCAGCACCCGGGCGGCAUAGCUUUGAAAAUAUUUCCCACUAAAACGCAAAUUAGAGCAAGGUAGAAGAAAGAACCCUAGGUCCAUUUUAGCCCUAAUUUGAAACCCUAAUUUGGGGAAGCGAGAGCGAGGGCGAGAGGGAGGGAUAGCGCUCGCGGAAUCGCAAUGUCUGGCGCGAUCGACAAUUGGGGCGGCGACAAGGGCAAUGCGGUGGAGGCGCGGCGCAAGCAGCCCAAGCAUCUGUGGCGGAUGAAGAACAACCAGGUCGGUAGCAGGCUCCAGGGGAGAUUGGCGUACGAGCCGCCGCGGCUGAGCGAUCUCCAGCACCAGAAUCGCGUCAAGGCGCGGAAAUACUUCCCAAAGAAGAAGUCCGCGCAGUCCCAGGCACAGGAGCACCCUCACGCCCCAAGAAACACGACCUCUUUCAUCAUGCGCGCCAAAUGCUCCGGAGGGAUCGCUCCCCCGACUCCGUCCACGCCGGCUGUGAUCUCCACCCCGGAUCUCUCCGGCGUGGCGUCGUAUCGCGAGGGGAUCACCGAGGAAGUGAACAAGGAAUGGGGUGUCAAUGGCUAUGGCUCGAUGAAUGGUCUCAUCCGGCUCAAGGAGGACAGGAUCGACGACUCGGACAGCGAGAGCGACGUGGAUCAAGGCGUGCAAUCCGUCCAGCAGCUAGAGCAGCGCCUCGAUCAGGACCUCAACCGGUUUGAGAUCCUCUACACGCCAGGAGCUGGCGAUCAGGAUAACUUCUCGCUGGCUGGGAUGCAACUCCACGAUCAAGAGAACCAUAUUGCGCAUCUGGAAGAGGAGAACUUGACGCUCAAGGAGCGGAUCUACAUCCUGGAGCAGCAGCUGGACGAGCUCAAGCAAAAGUUGGCGCAGCAGCAGAAUAGCGAGAGCGUGGACGAGAUGGAAGUUUGCUCCAGCGAUGGAGCGACGUGAAGAGGCCUCUUUCCUUUCGGGAUUUCGACUCCUCGAUGGGAAGCGAUCGAGAAUCGAGAAUCGAGAAGGGUGGUGACGAUCCGGCAGGGAACGAACGAACGUUACGCAGCUUUUGAUGGUACUUAACCUUGUAAGCUUUUUAAGUAUGUGUCUACUAAGUUACUCUCUGUACAGCUCUGAUCCAUCCAUCCGAGGUAAAAAAAGUUCUCUUGUUUUUUUUUCUUUCCUCUCUCUUUGCGUCUCGUGGUACUUUUGUGAUUAAAGUUUCUGGGAUCUCUUUUCGUUCAGCAGCAGUGAUUCUGGAUCUUCUCUUCUUUUUUCAGCAGUGUCUGCACUCUCUCACUCACUCAGUAGUGUGUUUUUCUCAGUCACGAUUGACACUUCUCAGAUUAAUUGCUUGCAGGUGGUUCGAUUCUGUCUCCAAAAAAUCUUAUUGCUUGAUCUCUCGCAAGCUCUAUCGAAGCAGACAAAACUCCGACUUUGCUCUCUCCUGGACUAUAAAGACGAAUCGCAUUAAGACGAUACGUAUCAGUCAUGAAUCGAGAGACCACGAGAAAGGUCUUGCGUAUAUUUCUUGUUGAUUUUCCUUGUUUAAACUUCUCUUUCGACGUCUAGCUGGUGCUGGUCGGAUAGUAUCUCGAUCGAGAUUGUUGUUUGGUUGGCUUGUUUGAUGGAUUAAAUGGAUUGCCUCCUUGUUUGUUUGCUGGAUGUUCUCACAAAAACUUAUCGCCCUUUCCAAGAUCUGAUCCGAUCUGUAUUCAUCUUAAUUUCUGAGAGAUGUUCAAAGAGAAAAGAGGCUAAAAUUCCUAUGAGAAAUUCCAGAAAUCAAUCCGUACUGAAUGUGCUAUAACUUGUCAAAACUCGGAACAAUGCUCCAAACACUUCAGAGAAUUUUGAAAUUAUAAAGUUGCACUCUUAAGAAUGGAAGUUCUUCUCCCAAGACCGAGAAAUCUGUGAACCAGUAUCAGAGCCUGAAACCAGCUCGAUGGGAUGAUUUAAACAAUCGAAACACACAAUAAAAUGUAUCACAUUUCGUCGCUGGACGAUGCAGAUUCUAGAACAAAAGUCUUCCAUGGUUGUCAUGUCCCUCCCAAAGCUAUACUUUUUAGAUCUUCUGUUGCCUUAAACACGUUGUGAUCUAGCUUCGUAUCUUAUAAGUCUUUCAUUGAAUUAUAAGCCUUGGGAAAAAUAAGACUGAGAAAUCAGAAAAAGAAAAGUUAUUUUAUUGUAAGUAUAAAAGGUGGGAUAAGCGUGGAAGUUGGGGAAGUUAGAUAACUUCCUCUUGUCCAUUUCAGCUGAAUCCCGUGGCCAUGCCGGCUGAACGGUAGUUAGGGCACACAGCAUCCAAGUUCGCUUGGAAACCUUCUCUUUCAUUCAACGCGACAACACCCAAGUCCUCUCCCCAGCACACAACCCUGCAGAGAUGAGAGAGAUCCUCCACAUUCAAGGCGGCCAGUGCGGGAACCAGAUUGGAGCAAAGUUCUGGGAGGUUGUGUGCGAUGAGCACGGCAUUGAUCCCACCGGGACUUACCACGGCGACUCCGACCUCCAACUGGAGAGGAUCAACGUCUACUUCAACGAGGCCAGCGGCGGACGCUACGUGCCGAGAGCGGUGCUCAUGGAUUUGGAGCCGGGUACCAUGGACAGCGUGAGGUCGGGGCCGUAUGGACAAAUCUUCCGGCCAGACAACUUCGUCUUCGGCCAAACCGGAGCUGGUAACAACUGGGCCAAGGGACACUACACGGAGGGCGCGGAAUUGAUCGACUCAGUGCUGGACGUUGUGAGGAAGGAGGCCGAGGGAUGCGAUUGUCUCCAAGGCAAAUCCCGCAAAACCCACGAUCAAACUUGUCAAGUUCUUCGCUUGAAUCUGUGCUUGCUUUUUCCUGUGUGCCAGGUUUCCAGAUCUCCCACUCCAUGGGAGGCGGGACUGGUUCGGGGAUGGGGACGCUGCUCAUCUCCAAGAUUCGCGAGGAAUACCCCGACCGGAUGAUGCUCACCUUCUCCAUCAUGCCGUCGCCCAAGGUGUCGGACACGGUGGUGGAGCCGUACAACGCAACGCUGUCCGUACACCAGCUGGUGGAGAACGCGGACGAGUGCAUGGCGCUGGACAACGAGGCGCUGUACGACAUCUGCUUCCGUACGCUCAAGCUGACGACCCCCACAUGUACGUCAGAGGCCGUUGACACUGUCGGGUCGUAACCAUUGACUUUGAUGUUUGCUUGCAGUCGGCGACUUGAACCACCUGAUUUCGGCGACCAUGAGCGGUGUGACCUGCUGCCUGCGGUUCCCCGGUCAACUCAACUCUGACCUCCGGAAGCUGGCGGUCAACCUCAUCCCCUUCCCGCGCCUCCACUUCUUCAUGGUGGGAUUCGCGCCGUUGACCUCCCGGGGGUCGCAGCAGUACCGCGCGCUGACCGUGCCCGAGCUCACCCAGCAGAUGUGGGACGCCAAGAACAUGAUGUGCGCCGCCGAUCCCCGCCACGGCCGCUACCUCACCGCCUCAGCAAUGUUCCGUGGCCGCAUGAGCACCAAGGAGGUGGACGAGCAGAUGCUCAACGUCCAGAACAAGAACUCGUCCUACUUCGUGGAGUGGAUCCCCAACAACGUCAAGUCGAGCGUGUGCGACAUCCCUCCCAAGGGCCUCAAGAUGUCGGCCACCUUCAUCGGGAACUCCACCGCCAUCCAGGAGAUGUUCAAGCGGGUGAGCGAGCAGUUCACGGCCAUGUUCCGGCGGAAGGCGUUUCUUCACUGGUACACUGGCGAGGGGAUGGACGAGAUGGAGUUCACCGAGGCCGAGAGCAACAUGAACGACCUCGUGUCCGAGUACCAGCAGUACCAAGACGCGUCGGCCGACGAGGAGGGAGAGUUUGAAGAAGAGGGCGCCGAGGCCUAGGCGGCGUGUGAUCAUGUCCAAGCACCAUGGGACAAUUUUCCUGUUCUUUGUUACCGAGCUAGCACCACAGUUUCAAAGAUAGAGCAAGAGAUUAGCAAGAGUUAUGCUUUUAAACGAACUUGUUUCCUGAAAACAAAGCUUAUUCCAGGCGACUUUUACAUUCCGAGCACCAUUUUCAUUUGAUUCUCCCAGUGCUCCUUAACUUUCUGGACGCGUUCCACGCGUUCUUUCUUCAGUCUCUCGUCCCAAUAAUCCCCAAUUGAGAAAGACUUUUGCACUUGCCCAAAUAAAAGAAACUGAAAACCAACCUGUUUCUGAUCAUCAAGUUCAACUCCGUGAGUAAAACCGCGGUCAGGUACACGCCAGGCUGCACGAUGGGAGUCAAAGAAAAGAAAAAAAAAGUUCACAUGCUAACUGUGCGUUGAUAAAGUUUUUUUACCUGUCGACAAAGCGGACACUUAGCCUCCUUGGUGGCAGACUUGACGCCUUGAAUAGUUGGAAUGGAGGCCGGAGAACAAGCACAGGUACUGCAAAAGAGAUGCCCGCAGCCCAGAGCCACUGGAUCAAACAGUGUUUCCAAUCGAUCUCGUCUUACCAGACAGAUCGAGCAUGUAAGAUCCGCUUCAAAAGCUUGCGUAACUUGCGUAGCUUAUGUAACUUAUCCUCUCCCAUAGGACUGGCACACUGCUCUUGUGAAUGUGGCGAUUCCAAGGCUACUCUCCAGAGUACGCUCUCACCACUGCGCGCGCUACUCUCGCCAUUUUUCCCAUCCUUCUUAACCUUGAGGCCAUUUUCACCUUUCUCACCAUCCUUUUCAUCCUUGAGGUUGAUGUAGAGAGCAGUUAGCUCGAUCAGCCAUGGGGACUGGAGGAGCUCCUCGUGCAUGGAUUGCAGUCGUGUUUUAAAAGCUUGCCCUGCUAUUGAGCAAUGCACCUGGCCAUCCAAGUAGCGAAAAAGAAGCAAGUGAGGCUCCGUGCUAGCAAAGAAAUACCUUGUCAUACUUCUUUAGUAUCUUGCGCAUGGCCAUGGCGUUCAUCGAGGAUAGUUUACCAAGUUUCUUCCCUGAUGGACCAUCGUGUCAUGAUCUCUGCCAAAGUUGUGCCUCAUGCGCAGUAGCAUCCUCUGUAACUUGGGAGAGAGGUGGAAUUCCAGGAGCUGCUGUGUGCAAGAUUUGAAACAGCCCGAAAUCUCCUGGAGCAAAAUUGGGGAAAAAAUUACUGGUGAUAAAGAAAACAAAAGAAAACUCAAUCGCGAUGAGAAUGUGAGCUUUACCUGGACACGCGAUGGGGCCAUUGCACGCCACAGACGAUGGAUCGCCGGCCGGUGGCGCCUUGAGGAGCUCUUGGCGGACGAAAUGCUUGAGAGUAUUUUUGUGGCGCUUGAAUUCCACGCACGAGCACCCCUUGAGAAGGCGACCAUCCAGAGACUUCUUCCACUCGGCUGCUUCCUUGUGCUGUUCUUGCUUCCAAAGCUCGCUCCACGUGAUCAGGACAUCCCUCGCAAUGGGAUAUUGAUUUUCCCUGUGUCUUUCCACUAAGAAGAUUUUAACACUUAAUAAAAUUACACCAUGUCAGAUCUUCUAUUAUCCUAAUAAAUGAAUCCAUCUAGUCACGUGUGGGUAAGUGGCAGGCGCCCAAUUUUCUUGUAACCAAUUGCUAUGUAAUAAAAAUUUGUCACAUGGCUUAUCAAUGCUGACUAGUCACCAUGUCAAAAUACUAGUCUAUUCCUCCCUCUCCAAUCUUUCUGAUGUUUCAAAAGUUGAAUCUUGCUAGUGAGGGCUCCUUUCUAUACAUCUAAUGCACCAGAAAAAGGAUUCCAACAAGCUACUUUAUGAAUCAAACUAGAAUUCAAAUUUGAACAAUGAGUCAUAAGUAUUGCAAACUCAAACCUGCUUAUGUGGCAACUUAAAGCUACUAAAUAGAAUAUAUCACAAUUUAAAAUAGUGGCCAGACUUAGUAUACUUUAGAAGGUACUUUAGCUAAACAAACUUAAAGUGACAAGCUCUAAUAGAAUGCAAUCUUCCAGCUAAAAACUACUAACAGGUGGAAAGAGGGAAAGAGGGCCUAAGUUAAAUGGCAGCUCUAACCUCUGUAGUAGUGAAGUAUUGAUUUCUUCUUUUACUAUUAUUUUGGGUUAGUGCAACACCAUUGAUUGUUUCAUGAGCAUAAACACUAAAAAGGUUUUGUAAGCAAUUAAAAAGAACAAUUUGAGAAAUGAUCCAUAAAAAAGGUUCAAAUAUAAAGGGAUAAAGCUCAUGAAUAAAAGGUGCACCUUUUUUUUAAUUGGUUAAAUAUCUUGGGAUAUUUAGAUUUAGGUAAUACUAACCUCCCAAGAAGUUGAAAUUUAAGAGCUUUUAAAGGGCUAUUUGUUGGCUAGGGGAAUCACACUAUAUAUUGAAAUUAGUUCAAUUUAAUCUAAUUAGGCUCGAUUGAAGGGGUAAGGUGUUAAGAGAAUGAGGCUCUUGGGAAAGUUACAACUUUCAUCUUCUAUUUACAAGAGCAUGUUUGUAAGGAAAUGUAAUAGAUUCUAAGUAACAAAAGAUAAUAACUCAAGAAAUGAAAUUUAAAUAUGAAAGAAAAAAGUUUAUGAAUAAGAGUACACCCUUUUUUUCUUUUUACUGAUUAAAGGUCUUUAGAUUUGAAUAGUAUUAGGUUAGAUGACCUUUCAAUAAAUUCAAAUUUAAGAGUUUAUAAUUUUUUGUUGCAAUCUUUGACAAUUCCACUAUGUAAGAUUCAUACAACACAACACUUUCUUUUUCUAGAUAUCCUGAUGCUAAAUUUGUUACAUCCCCAUAUUAAAUAACCCUAAGAAUUUAGAUUAAUUAGAGGUGGUAUAAUUAAUAUUCUUAGAAUAUUUGAAUAUACUUUAGGAUAUUUUUUAAUAUAAUACUUGUAAUUUUUCACACUUUAAACUUUUAUAAUUAUUUUCUGUUUAAACAUUUAUAGAAAUCAUAUUAUAGUUAAGGGAUUUCCAGGGAGAAAUUCCCUAACAAUCUAGCAGCCUAGCUGCCAUUUGAGCAUAAACUCUGAAAAAUUCACUAUUUUAUACUUCUUCUUAAAAUUUCUUUAAUUAUACAUUUUUGUAUGUAUCUAUUAGUUUGUUAUAUUUAUAAAAAAAAUUGUCCUAAAACCAUUUGGUUGACCAACUAGUUUACCCAUACAAUUUGGCUACUGAAUGUUUUUUACUGAUCACAUCAAUGAUUUUCUUAUAAAAACUAUUCAACUUGUUAAGAUUGCCCUAAAAACCAUUAUGGUUAAAUGUUUUUUCACAAAGAUCAUUAACUGACCAAAUAGUUUAUAAAUAAAAAUAAUAAUCCAAAUGUAACAUAUUUUAUUUCUCUCCUCUUAAGCUUGCUAAAAAAAGCAAUUAUUUUAUGACCUUUAUUAAUUAUUUUAUCCCUACGGGUUUUUAGGAUUUACAAUCAGAAUUCUUAAAAUAACCGGUUUUUUUAGAUGUUAAUAUCCUUAUUAAAUAUUACUGAAACAGCCUAAAUGAAACAGCCUGUUUCAUUCUUUUAACCUUCAUUUUUAUACUAAUCCUUCUAUUGUAUAAAUUAAAUGCUCUAUAUAAGGGAAUAAGUCAUCCACCUAUAGUAUAGUUUUAUAAUGAACUCUUUUGUUAAUAGAUGCUUUAUAAAAUAAAGGAUGUACUCAUGGAUGCUAAUAAAUAUUAUUUCAAUUUUAAGGGUGUUUAAGAGUAAAUAGCUAUUAAAGGUUUCUCAUCAAUCAAUUACCCUUUUUCUAGCUAGCUUAAGUGGAAAACUAUGUGUUAUAUGUGGUAAGAAGAUAUAUUAUAUUAUAAUUAACCACUACUUAAUGGGAAUUUUAAAACAAAGCCAAAAUUCAGCAUUCUAGUGGUCUAUUGCAAGAAUAUAGGUAGUAUUGUAUAGAAUUUGGGUUUAAAUCCAAACUAAACACAAAACAAAAAGUGACACACUCAACAAAGAGCAAAACAAUAUCUCAAAUAAUCAAUUAUCCCUUUGGCCACUCUUACUAUAUGAAAGAAAGCUCACUUUGUGCUUUCAUCCCAAUCCUUUAUUUUUUGAAGAUAGUCUUUAGAAGAAACUUAAAAUUUUAUUAAAUAUAGACUAGUGUUGGAUUAUGAAUUUAGAGUUAGAAACAUGUUCAAAACACUCUUUACAUUCUAUGGAUAUAUAUAAUUAACAAUUAUUGACACCUUUCAUAGAUAGUCAAUAUGACCAACUUAUGGGGUAUCAUAAUGAGAGUGCUAGGUGGAUAUAAUAAACUAUUAUUUGAAGGACUAAAUUUAAUAGAGAUUUUCAACACUAGCAAAUGCAAGUCAAUAUAAAUUUAUUUUCAUAAGACCAAGUAUGUUUAACUCAAUGGUAAUUUAAGAUUUCCUUCUUUAGUCUCUUAUAGUUUAAGUGCACAUAUAAUGAUUAAUUUCUCAAAUAACUCGAGUUGAAAUUGAUAAAGGGUCUAAUACUACAUGGUCUCUUGCUAAUAUAGUAGUAAGAGGUAAUAUCUUUAAGGACUUAUAAACAAGUAAUUUUUGAUACUUACAAUCACAUUCAUAAUAAUAAUGACAUUCCAUAGUUUUGUAGCAUUUUUCAGGCUUGUAUCUAGCCCAGGACCCUCUAGUUCUUGUUAGAGGUGUUUUAGGCUGAAAAAUCUUCUAGAUUUCUUAGUUCUUUCAUAUUUUCUUUCAUUUUCUUCUUUGUUUUGUGCAAUUUUAACUUUCAACUACAAAUUCUCUUUCUUUGAAGAUUCAUUUUUUGUGCCAUUUGUUUCUAUAGGUAGAUCUACUUCCAAGCUUUCCAACAGCAUGUAGAUUUUUAGUUUUGCUCCCAAUUUCACAAUAUGCAAAAACCUCUUAACCCAAGAAUCCUUGUUUGAGUGGCUUCCUUUCUUUUUUGUUUGAGUGCCUUUUUUUUAAGAGUUUCCUCUUGUGGAUUCUUUCGCAAACUUCUAGAUCUCUUUGAGAGAGUUUUUUAGACAUAAGUUUUAUCAUUUUUUGUUUAAUAUCAACUAUGUUUGAGUGAAUUUUCUUUUACUUGGGAGUUGUCUUUUUUUUUUCCUUCUCGCUGGUGAAGCACUCAUCUUUCCUUGCUACAAUUUUAGAUACCUAUAGAAAGCCCUCAACAAGAUCUUUAUACCCAUACAACAAAAUAUUCAAAUUUGGGCACAUACAAAUUGUUUCUCUUCCUUGGUUUUCUUUUUGAGUUUUACAUGGUUCUCUUCAUCACAGAAAAGGUUUCUUGGCUUCUUAAAUUCUAGUUUUGAGCUCCUCUUUUUUUAUAGAACCCUCAUGCCCAAUAUUUCACUAUAGAUCUUUUACUUCAUGCUUUGAUGUAAUACCCUUCCAUGCUAUUUGUGGUUACAACUUUGGAGUAGUCCUUGGUUUAUCUUUUGAGUGGCACAUUGGAGUUUCCUCUUUACAUCCAUCUUAUUUUCUUCUCUUUUACUCAAUUGGUAUCAAUCUUUCUUCAUGACAAAUACCACUCCUUUCUUGUUUUUGACUUCAUUUUUUAAGUCCAUUUUGUGAGAGCAGUAGUACAGAUUGAUAGGAGGAGCAUGUGUUUAGUAGCAAAGGUAUAAUCAAGCAAGUUUGGCAUCAAUAUCUCAAAAUCUUCACUCAACUUUGUGGUGAUAGCAAAUGCCCCAACCCAGAAAAUGCAAUUAAAGAUGUGUCAAUGGGCCCAAAGUUAGUUCCUUAAGGAUGUGUGCAUCCCCCUCUUUUAGCACAUUUUUUGGCCAAGUAUUUAUCACAUUUCUGGAUCAUUGUAAAGAUUCCUUUCAAGCUGGCAUCUUUAGCAACUAGAACCUAUGUUAACUUUGCAAUAGCUUCAUGGUUUUUGAGCAAUGGCUACUUACUUCAUCUCUAAACACCAUCCAACACUUUUUUUCUCCUCUUUCAAUAUUGUUUCAACAAAGCAUUUGCAAUGUAACAUAUGUGAGCACUAAAUGAGAUUUGGAUAUACUAUCACUGUGGAUCCAAAUGUAUAGUAAGAAUAAUGGGUAGGUCAGACAUAACUGACCAACUUGAAGUAUAGUUUAACUCCUGCUUACGUGCCUGUCCUUUUUUUACAUUUGGGUUAAGUCUAAGCCCAAAUUCCAUUCUAUGCUAGUUAAUAGAGUACUCAUAUCUUUGCAUUAGACCAUUAGUAUGCUUAAAUAAUAUUAGACUUUAUUUGGCUUUAUUUUAUAUGUUGGUCUUGGCAUUGGGAUGUUAAAUGCUCUAGAAUUAUUUUUAUAUCACUCUGUGCUCUUGCCUCUUUGCUCUUUGAGUUGUAUACUUGAGAGUCACUCCAUGCCACUUCCUUCACUCUUUGGCUUCAUAUUUAGAAGUUUGGCUCUAUCCCUUCAUUCAGUGGCUCAAGGCCUUAAAACUCAAGUUCCACUCCACUACUCUUUGACACGUGGUAUAUGGCAUAUGCCAUAUGCCAUAUGGAGGGUUUAGGUUCUAUUUCAUUAUUAUUCUAUAGUAAAUCACUAUAUGAAAACCACAUGCCCUACAAUUCAUCUUUAGUCAAAGAUUCCCUUUAUUUGGCAUUUAUGGCAUCUAGAGCAUCUUAGCAUUCUUUGAGUAGUAGAUCAUGGAUUCUUGUGUAUUAGAGUUUUAUACAAUCCUCUUGUAGUUACCUAUUGAGAUCUAGAGCUGCAAAGAUUCUGGGUGGGCAUUUGUAGUAGGGUUGAUCAUGUGAGUCAAAAGUAACCUUAAGGGUAUAAGGUCGUUCCGCACCGACCCCCUAACCCAUAAUGGGUUAGGGGGUGAAAUUGUUUUCACAUUGAAUACCUAGUUAAGGGGUUCUAACUUUUACCCAAGAGUUUUUUUAAGAGUAGGGUUUCCACACUUAAACUCUUAGUUAGGGGGCAACAAAAUUUCUAUGUAAAAUUUAAAGGUCCUCCCUAGGACCCUUAAGUUUAUAUUCUCUCUCUUCUGUGCACAGUUGCUUGUCAUGUCAAUUGCGUGCCUUAACUUGGCACCCUAACUUUGGGCAAGAGUGGCUGUGUCUAUAGUGUGAGGAGCAGGGCAUUUUGGGCUCCUCCCAAGCAUGGAAGGAAGCCCCAACACUUCUUCAAGUUUUAAUCAGCAACAACAACAAGUAUUCUCUAUUCUCUCCUUCUUUAUUCAUGCAUUCAUGCACAUCAUUUAGGUUCAACAAGUUUAACAGCAAGAUGAAGAAGAAGCCCUUUCUUCUGCAGCCCCUUCUUCAACAACUCUUUCUACAGUGCUUCCAACUGACUAAGGUUUCCAACCUAGCCAGAAUCUUCAUUUUAGCCUCUAGCCAAGCCAUAAUGAAGAUUCUGGCCGUUGGGCUGAUCAGCCCGGCCAGAAUCUUCAUUCUAGCUGUUGGGCUGGUCAGCCCAGCCAAAAUGAACAUUCUAGCAAGGGCUUCCAGCCCAGCCAGAAUAUUCAUUCUGGCCGUUGGGCUAGUCAGCCUAGCUAGAAUCUAGAUUCUAGCUGUUGGGCUGGUCAGCUUGGCCACAAUCCUGAUUCUGUCCGCUGGUCUAGUCAGCCAGCCAAAAUCUUGAUUUUGGCCACUGGCUUGACCAAAAUCAAGCUGGUCGUGGUUGUAGGCUCAAGUUUCAGCCUGGCCAUUGGGCUGAUCAACAUGUGGAGCAAGGCACUUGGUCUCAAUUUCCUACUACAAGCAGCUGGCCUAAGGUCGAUUCGCAGUUGGAAUAGCCAAGUUCUGGCUCCCCGCUUGAUAACGAGCAGAGAAGUGAAGAUCAAAGGGCAGCUCUUGGUAAAGAUAGACAUGGAGGUAGAGUUGGUAGAGGUCGUGGAUGUGCAAGCAGGUCUACAGGUGGUGGUGGUAGUGGUGGUGAUUCAGAUGUGGAAGAUGUGGCAGCUCGACCAGAAGCAAAAAGGCAACGUUCCAAGAAUUGGACACAAGAGGAGAUUUGGGCCUUGGUGGAAAUCAAGUGGCAGGAAUAUUAAGCAUGAUGUGAGAUGACAAGCAGGCAGCAAACAGCAACUGAUGCAAAGCAGCAUUAGCAUAUCAUUGCCCAAGAAAUGCAAGCUUAAGGAUAUGAUCGUGAUUGGGAACAAUGCAAGAAGAAGUGGGAGAACAUUUUAGGUGAUUACAAGGCCAUCUUUGAUUACGAAUGCAAGACUAGAGCAGCUCUUUAUUCUUCAUUGACACAAGCUAAAGUUCGGGAGUUCGACCUCCCAAAUAUGGAUUUAGAUCUUUACAAGCUUGUGGAUAGUUUUCAACGGUAGAGAUAGAAUAUUAGGCCAGAGUUCAGCUCUAAUUUUGAUGUUGCAGCACCUCCAACUCCUGAUUCUACAACAACUGCCAUGGGUAUGGGUACAGAUUCUGAUUCAGAUGCAGAUGGGAAUAGAACUCUAGACAGCAUAGGCAAGAAGAAGAAUGCAGCAACUUCAAUGGUGCAAGCAAUGACCAAGAAUUUGAAGUUGUAGCGGAUGCAAAUUGACAUGAAGGAUAUACAAUUCAACGAGAUGUUGGCUGUGUGACAUGAUGUAUGCUUAACCAUGAAGGAGGAGUUGCAAAUGAAGAAGGAAGAUAAUGAGUAAACGCAACAGCACAAGAGGCAAGACUUUGAUCAUCAUUAUGAGUUGAAGCAAGGGCAGAUAGAUGCAAUUAACCGUUUCACGACAAUGAUGGGCUAGAUUGCACAACAAAUCAUGAAGUUGUAGAAGAUUUGCAUUUUUCAUGCGGCAUUUAUUUGCAUUACUUUAUUUUGAUUUUUUGUAGAAUGAUAUUUUAUUUAUGAUAUGAAUAUACAAGUUACUCUUAAUCAACGAAAAAUUCGACUACUUUGCUGGCUUUUAAUGUUUGCAUUCAACUUCUUCAUUUGGUUCAUACUUGUGAAUAUGGAUUCAGAUUCAGAGGAAACUUCUUCUAGUUCCAAUGAAAAUGUGUGUGAAAUGGAAAAUGAAGAUGAAGAUGAAGAAGAUGAAGACAAUAAUGAUAGUGAACUCAGGUAGCAAAUUCAAAUGUUAGGAGAUGUUGCAUUUCAAGGAGAGUGAGCAUGGUGGGUAAUGCUAUGUAGUGUGGCAUGGUGGGACAUGUUCAUGGUGGUGUAUUAUGAUGAUUUUCGAUGGAUAAAGAUUCUUUGGAUGACACAAUAAACAUUCACAAUGUUUUGUGACACUUUACACAAGGAGAUUGUGAGACAAGAUACCAAUUAUAGAAUGGCAGUUCGUGUGGAUGUAAGAGUUGGCACAACACUCAUGAAGCUUAUCAGGAAUUAUAAGUAUGAUGAUGUGAGGGAAAAAUUUGCAAUAAGGGUUUCUCAAGAGACUACAACAGCAAUUUGUCGAAAGUUUUGGGAUAGGAUUUCAUUUUCAACAACAAAGGAGCAGGUGUAGGUGUGUAGGUGAUAUUUGACGAAUUCGAAGUGAUCACACACAUAUGACUACCCAACAUUGCUAGAGUUAUAGAUUGCAUGUAUGUGGAGAUUUUAGCACCUUCAGCACGAGAUCGUGAUGAUUACACUAAUAGGAAACAAUGAUUUAGCAUAAUUAUCUAAACGAUUGUGGAUGCGCAGAAGAGGUUCCUUAACGCAAAUGUCGGUUGUCCAGGUACUUUUUCAAUAUUAAAAAUAUUAAUUAUUAAUUUUAUUAAAAAAUUAUUAUGAUGAUUAUUAAUUAUUAAUUAUAUUUUUGUAGGAAGCAUACAUAAUAUGCAAGUUUAGAAAAAUAGCUCAAUUCGACACAAAAUUGAAGAUGGAGUUUAUCUUCAAGCUCUUAUUCGUGUUAUACACACGAACAAUGUGAGCCCGUCUUGGUCGGUGACAAAAGUUAUCAAUUACAAACAUAAUAUGGGACAAGGACACAUUUAUCAUGUGCUUAAGAGGCCUUCAAUAAAGAGCUCAGUUGCGCCACAUUGUUGUGGAACAAGCAUUUGGUAUACUCAAGCAAAAGUUUGCUUGUCUUGAUAGCAAACUAAAGGUGAGAUUGCUGCAAAUCCCAAAUACUAUUAAUGUUUGCAUCAUUCUUCAUAAUAUCCUUAUUGAUGUAGGUGAGGCGAAUUAUGAGGCAACUUUAGGAGCACGACAAAGAAGGCUAGAGUGACGUUGUCGACGAGGAACAUUCGUUGAAUAUGAUGAUCCUCCUAGAGAUGCAAGAGAACUUGGAGAGACAACGUUAAAUGCUCAAACAAUUCACGAUGCGUUAAUAGCUCAUAUUGUAUUUGGUAUACAUGUGUGAAAUUCAAAUAUUUGAAAUAUUUAAGUGAAUUUCUAUGCAGAUACGUUACCCCUUAUUUUUAAGGGGUAAAAUGUUAGUGUACCCUUAGCAUAACCCAUAAAUGUAAAAGUUAGGGGUGGUGUGGAAAUAUUACCCCUUACAUAAAUUUUUAAGGGGUAUUGGUGUGGAAAAAAUUAUAAUCUCUUUAUUAAGGGUUAUAACUUAGUUAAGUUAUGAUAAGAGUUAAUGCGGAAUGGCCCAUGUUAAGGUAUAUUUAACCUACACUAAAGCUCAUAGUGGCAAGUGGUAGAUAAUGGAGUUCUUGAUGUAGUUUGGGGGUGGUGAUUAGGUGGUGAAGAAAUGUAACAUAUCCUAUACCAAAAAAACUCUAAAUGGUCCCAUUUACUAUUAGUGAAAAGGGUUAGUGGGUAAGUCAAGCAUGGCUAACCAACCUAAGACAUUAUUUAGUAGGCAUAUUUAUCUUUGUUCUACAUUUAGCUUGAAUCUAAGCCCAAGCUCCAUAGCUAGUGAAUUUUUUAUAGACCACCAAUAUACUAAAAUAGCACUAAAAUUUGUUUAGCUCCAUUUUAUGUGUUGAUCUUGGUGUUGAGAUGUUAGAUGUUUUAGGACUGUUCUUAUAUAUAAUAUAUAUGAUCAUGGGAUAAAAUUUGAAAUAUACUCUCAUUAUAAAUCUUUUGAACAUUAAAGGAUAUAUGGGGAUAGAAUAUCCAUUAAAGGCUCUCUCAUUAAGCAAUUGCCUCUUUUUCAAAGAGAAAUAAAUAAGAGGAAUAUAUAACACUAUAUCUCAUUUAGAUCCUCAACAUUAAGCUCCUUCCCAUGGAAAUCCUCACAUGGUGAUGUUAUAGAGUAUAUACUUUUUCUAUUGCCUUAUAUAAAUUAAUAAAUAUGGUGAUCAAAGAGUUAUAAGAGAUGGCCCACUUUCAUUGGUAGUUUCAACUAUAGACAUAGACCACCAUAUUGGGCUUGGACUUAUACAAGAUUUGCACCAAGCACCUAGACAACUUGGAGUUUUACACAUAGAGAGAACUCUAACAAUAGUACUCAAUGCCCACCAUUGAAAAUAUCUUCUAUAACAUUUAUAUUGUCACAAUCAAUAGUUUCAUUUCCAAAUCUGCUUCAUGCCAAGGAAUAAAAGGAUCUUUAGAACUUACCACAUGGGCCAUCAUUGCCUCAUCAAUUUUAGCUGAUAGGUUAGAUAAGUAAUCCACUUCUGUUUAAUGUGUCUCAAAAAAGAUGAAGACAUUAACCAUGUUGUCAACAUAUGGCCCAAAUACACUCACUUCCAACAAGCACCAGUGCCAUAGGGGUUGGAUCUUCAUAUCAUCCUUAAAGGGGAGUUGUAGGUAAAUAAACUCUAUGAUUUCUUGCAUGUAAUGGCUGUUCACCAAAGCAAGGGGCCACAGUUAGCAAUAAAAUCAUCAAGUUCAAGAGUAUAUAAAUGUAAAUAAAAGAAUGAAUUUUAUCCAUGUAUAUGAAAAAAAUAUAAUUAUGUUUUUCAACUACGUUUUUUAUUGUAUAGACAUAUUAUAUUAUACCAUAGAUUUUUUCAAUUUUUUUUCUAUAUGAUUAGCUAUCAUUUUAGAUAAUUGAUGUUUUAUGACUUUAUAAAUUGUAUAAACGAAAUACUGUAUCAUAAAAUAUGAAUAUCAUAAUAAUAAGUUACCAGAAAAUGUCUUAUUGUUUAUAUGUUAGUUAUUUCACUAGUUAGUUUUGAAAUUGAGUACAAGUGAUGUUGAUAUACAAAAAAUAUUGAAUACCAUAUACUUUAUAAUUUCAAAUAUUUCUUUAAUCUCCAAAUUCAAAUGAUUCAUUUUAGUAGAAAAAGGAAAUUUAUAGGAAUUUGAUUAGAUGCUAUUACUUUACCUUUAUCUAGAGGAAUAUCUAUCAUAAAACUAUCAUGAUUUGCUAGAAAAUCUCCAAAUUGUUAAAGUGUAGAUAGAAUAAUAAAAGGAAGUAUUAUUUAUCAAGGAUUGAGAUUUUUGUUAAUUUAUAAUACUUUUAAAAUUUUCAAGGCAGCUACAAACUAUACAAUAAUAAUAUCAAAAUUAUUACAAUCUAUAAGUGCAUAAAACAUAGAAAUGGAAUACAGAAAUAUAUAUAUUAAUUAACCUAAAAACCUUAGCUUAUAUACAAGAGCGAGUGGUCUAGAUUGAAAUCAAUCCCACUACACUAAGAUUAAUAUACAACAUCAUACCCAUACACUUGGAUCUUACAUUAUCCCCUCCUCUUGGAAGGAUGAAAAGGAGCCAGAGUUUUUUGGUUGACAAGUUAGGAUCUAGAGGAACACCAAAAGGAGGCACUAGUGGAUUUGUAGGUGGUAUUAAUAGUUUCUGAUCCCUUUGUAUGAAACAUUUAAGCUAUUGAACAUGCACAAUGUCUAGGGGAUCAAUGCAUAUUAUGCCGAACCUCAUAAACUUGCAAUCCAAAUUACUACAACACCCAAUAUAAUCUUUUCCACUAAGUAAGAAGUCCUUUAGACUUGGGAAAACAAAUUAACACCAAGUCAUCCAUUUUAUACUUUGCAAGUGGACAAUGAUAGGAAUUAUAACACCAUUGUUGUUCCAUUUGUAAGUGGCUCAAGUGUUUAGUAGAUUCCACUAUGACAAAUGGAAGAACGCUUUUCAAAUACUAAUCCCAAAACCUAGUGUCGGCAGUUCAUAGCAAUUGUAAAAAUAAAAUCAACUCUACUAGUAGUAUCAGAUUAUGAGGUGAAGCACCAAUAAAACUUUAUAAUGUAAACAACUAAAUUUUUCAUUUGACUUUAGUCACUUAAUCAUAUUUUCAACCACUUAGAGAUGUUUCAUUUACAACCUCCAUAAAUCUUAUUCCCACCUUAGGGACUUAUUAGCCUCAUGAAUGGCCUCUAUGCCACUCUGUUACAACAUUUGGUCUAAGUGCUCCAUGUGUUCAAUCCCAUGAUAGACACCCAAAGGUACCAACGUAUCUGCCUAUUAAGCUAAGGCCAUAUCUAUUCCCCUUUGUCACACAAGUAGUUCAAGAGCAUUUGCACUAUAAUCCCAUCUCCCAAAAAUUAAACCAUUCAUUCAUGAGUGGUCAUCCCAUGAUUACACUUUAACAUCUUUAGGAUGCUUAGAGAUAUAAAGAACACCUUUCCCCAAUAUCCUUUUUUAGUCCCCGCCAAGUCCCUCUUUGUCCCUAGCAAUGCUUGCCAACACCACCAUUGGGUUCGGGUUUGAAGGCCCGACCACUAAGUCCUAUUAACCUUUGGGAUGUGAGACACAAAAUCCCUAGGCCCCAAAGUGGAGCCAGAAGGGCGCCACAUGGUAGUGGCCGAAGCGAGAGCCAAACGAGCGUAACACGUUUGGACCAAAAGCUCCGACUUGAAAAGUCAAGAGCGGGAGUGGAACUCCCAACGAAGUGCUCGAGGAACGAGCACGAAGCGAGCAAAAGGCGAGGCUCCAAAAAGGGACCCAAAAGGACCAACACAUGACACGUGGGAGUGUUCGAGAUGGACUCGAGUUGGAGUCCGAAGUGGAGUCCGAGAUGGACCCGAGUUGGAGUCCGAAGUGGAGUCCGAGAUGGACCCGAGUUGGAGUCCGAAGUGGAGUCCGAGAUGGACCCGAGAUGGAGUCCGAAGUGGAGUCCGAGGUGGACCCGAGAUGGACCCGAGUUGGAGUCCGAAGUGGAGUCCGAGGUGGACCCGAGAUGGACCCGAGUUGGAGUCCGAAGUGGAGUCCGAGAUGGACCCGAGAUGGAGUCCGAGAUGGAGUCCGAGAUGGAGUCCGAGGUGGACCCGAGAUAGACCCGAAAUGGAGUCCGAGAUGGACCCGAGAUGGAGUCCGAGAUGGAGUCCGAGAUGGACCCGAGAUAGACCCGAAAUGGAGUCCGAGAUGGAGUCCGAGAUGGACCCGAGAUGGAGUCCGAGAUGGAGUCCGAGAUGGACCCGAGAUGGACCCGAGAUGGAGUCCGAGAUGGAGUCCGAGAUGGAGUCCGAGAUGGAGUCCGAGAUGGAGUCCGAAGUCGAGACCGAGACCGGGACCGAGACCGAGACCGAGACCGAGACCGAGAUCGGGACCGAGACCGAGGCCGAGGCCGAGACCGAGCCCGAGCCCAAGUCCGAGUCCGAAUCCGAGUCCGAGUCCGAGUCCGAGUCCGAGUCCGAAUCCGGAGCCUGAGAGGGUGAAAGCCCAAAGCGUUCGUCUCCCAGACCCUGGGGGGUUUGGUGAGCUCCAAAAGUAUAGUAGGGGGAGGACUGCAGUGGAGCCAGUUUGGCCAGGAAAGGCCAGUUUGGCGCAGGAAGGCCGGACCCAGUGUUGGGUGAUGAGCUGCCCACUGGGAAGUCCAAGACUAGAGUGAACACAGACCGACAAGCGGGGUAGCUUGGUGAAGUGUUCAAGAGCCGGCUCUAGUUCCCCCGGGAGAUCGACUGGCCGAUGCUCCCAGUCCAAGUGUGGGUGGCACUACCUACUUGGAUACCUGGUGUGGCUCAACGGAACCCGCUCUAAGCCCAUGGCUAGAGCACCUAAAGGCGAAAGGCGAGGAGAGUACCCAGGUGGCUCGCGUAAGGCCACGGUGUUCCGAAAUGUUGUCCCGAAGGCCCAAACUGUGGAAAGGAAGAGGAACAAUCCUCUGGGGCAGUGACCAAGGACACAGUCGUGUGGUGAGGAAGUCCCAGAGGACCGUGGGACUUAGUGGUCGGGCCUGUGGGUCUCGAUCCAGUGGCAGUGUUGGCAAACACGGCCAGGGGCAGAAAGGGACUUAGUGGGAACUGAUAGAGGGAUAUUGGGGAAGGUUAUUCCCCUUGUCGGUGGGCAUCCUAAGGAUGCUAAGGAGUGGAUCUGAGAUGACCACUCACGGAUGGUUUGCCUAGUCUUGGAGAGCCAAGACGGUGAUGCAAGUGGUAUUGGACUACCAGUGUGGCAAAGGUGAUUGGGCAUGGCCUUAGCGUGACGGGCUGCUAUGUCGGUGGUACCUUUGAGUGUCGGUCAUGGGAUCGGACACGUGGAGCACUUGGACCAAGUGCAAAUGUUAAGUGGCAUGGAUGCCAUUCUCGGGGCUAGCAAGUCCCAAGUCCUGGAUUGGACUUAUGGAGGUGGUGAAUGAGACUCCUCCAAGUGGUCAGAGGUGUGGUUAAGUGACUAAAGUAGAAUGGAAAAAUUAGUCGCUUACAAUUUGGUAUCGGAGCUGUUCCUUAGUCCGACUUUUAUUGGUGCUCAAGUAUAUCACCACUAGUGUUGGCAUCGGAAGGUCCGAGGAUUGGGCCUAUCCUUGAGGAGUAGCAAGUCGGGAAGACAUGGCUCUCCAUUACAGUUCAUGUGUGAACUUGUAGACGAGGUGGUGGAUAGAAAAGGGCCAAUAAUGGAACGACUUUGGGAUCUUGGGAACAGUAUAUGGUUUUCCUCAAAGAGUUGAGGAUGUGAUCCAGAUGAGCGUUUGACUUAGCAAACUGGCUAAUGUAGUUGUGGUAAACAACUACAGAUGGGAUCACGGGAAAGAUAAAGACUCCAAAGCAAUAAAGGAGUCACAAGAUUUUCCUCAUAUAGUUGAGGUUGGUGCUCAUGAAUGUGAGACCAGAAGUAAUGACCGUGGGAGGUCAAAUACGGAAGAGGACUCAAGUCCUUGAAAAGGUAGCCGGGGCUACCUCUAAUAAAUGCUGGAACAACCCAAGGAGUUGGGGGUGUAUUAAGUGGAUGAGUUGGUCUUCUCAUCAUAUGGACAAGUAGUCCUAAGGGGCAAAGGUUGCCCCCAGAGAACAAAAUCAAGUGUCGGAGUAACACUUGUGAAAAUAGUCCUUUUGAGUAGGACAGGAAUGCAAGAAGUGUAUUCCAGUGAGCUAGUGCCUCACAAGUAGGACCUUACGGGUCUGUGGAUUAACCAAGUCCAAAACUGCUGGAUGACUCAAGUAGAGUCAACGGAUGGUCCUAAAAGGACUGAUGGAAGCAUUUGGACUGAGGUGUGUUGUACCCCACAAAGGAUGGGGGGGGAUCAUAGGAUCCAAGGAUGAGAACAGAGGGUAUUUCAUCGAUGGCAAAAUGUGCCAUGCUAAAGUUAUGGGAAAGGUGUUCCCAGAAGAAAACAACUUCGACAUAAAGUUGUGUGUGACCUCUAUGGUGCAGUGCUAACGGAUGGUUGGCAUGAGAAAGAGCGGUGUUGGUCUUGGCAAAGACUUAGACACGAAAGGGAAAUGUCAUAGAGGUAGGCUCGUGGAGCCGAUGGUGUGGAGACACCAAAUGUGCCAAGGUGUGAUACCUUGAGGCUAUGUUGGUGGGUUCAUGAGAACCCCUUGCCAAAGGAAUCCCAAUGGAAAUGGGAAUAGCAUAGCCUAAGCUGCAGAGCAUGCAGUUGGAGUGUGGUGACCCAGAUAAUGAUGGAGGUGUGAAAGCACCAAGCAAUGAGUUGUAGGACUUGACAACUAUGAGGCAACUAAGCAAGAGGUGCAAAAUAACUGGUUAAACGGGUAGAAGGUAGCUACCCAAGACUUCUUAAUAGCAUAAGGAAGUUGGAUAUACCCUUACGGGGGAUAAGUUGCUUGUGUUGCGAUAUAGUAAGUCAAUGUCAUAAAAGGAAAUACUCAUUAUCAAGAAAGCCAUCAUUGGGACACCCGAACACUCUAGAACACCAGAAGGUGGUGUUUGAUGUCGCGAGGGCAAUGGAUAAAGCCCAAGGGACUAAGUCCCUAGCGAAUGAUGGAUAGAAGGUGCUAUCCAAAUGUCCAAGGUUGCGGAGACAGGAGAGGACUGUCUACCCGAGUUGGACAAAGCCAAAAAUGGAAUUUUGGCAAGGCUAGUGAUGGGCAUGUAAAGGCCCAUAAGCAACAAUGUAAUCCCAGUGUGUGGGAUUAUAAGGUGAGCAUACCCGGAUUGAGGAACCACUCCCUACGCUAUUGGGUAGGUUCAUCCCUAAGAAUACUUGCUAAAGCAUGAUAGAAAGUGCAAAGCUAUCCUCCUGGUCUGGAGGAGAAUGACCAAAGGAAAGGUGUGAAGCCAAAAAGCAAGAAGUAAGGGGAUAAAACCGAACCAUAGGAAUCAAAGGGCAUAACCAAGGUUGGUUAUGCCAGCUGGGAGUGGAGAAUCAAGUGGGGGCUCAAGGGUGUUGCCGCUAGCAACCGUGAUGCCAUGGAAAGUCUAAAAUAUGGAAUUGUCCAUGUUAGACUAUGUGGCAAUUGGAAGGCUUGCAAAAAGGGAGGCCUUAGCAAGCUGAGGGACAGAGUUCCUUUAAGGUUCCCAAAGACAAUUCUAGGUAGCUUUGUACCGAGAAAGGCCAAGUGUAAAUGGUUCAUGGAACGCGCGAAAUCAGAGUGGCGCAGCAGAAGCGUGGUCUUGAAGCUUGCCAUGAGGCAAGGCUAUCAAGGUUAGGGAAGUAGUUCCCGAGUGUUCAAAGAGAGGGCUUUGAACGAAAGUCCAUGGUCAAGGACUUUCACGCUUAUGCAGGAACCAUGUUACAGUGGUCGGAGGACUUGCCAAGCGAGAUUGGCACGUCGGGGGAACAAAUACCCUAGUUGAAGGUGAUAACUCCAAAAAGGGUGGGCCAUGGGGCCGAGCAUGGAGGAGUCCAUGCAUGAUCACAGACAUGUCAAGUGAGAGGACUUGGCAGUGUGGAGGAACUAGAUUCCUAAGCUGUGAUCUGUAGCGCGCUUUAAAAAUAAGAUGGUGCACCGGCGUGGGGAGUCACGCCAGGCAUCUUGUGUGAUGCCGUCCGUAGAUGCAUAUACGGAGGUUGGGUUCGAGUCCCGACCCUCUAGUGCUUGGGUUCGAGUCCCAAAUCACUAGGGCGUGGUGAUGGUUUGGAAUAUGAGGACACUCAUAUUUCGGUGGUCAUGGACUCUCAGUGCGGAGACUGGUUUGGGCACACCGCCAAGCGAGGGAUGCCUCGGAGUCGUGAUGCACGGUUAGAUUGCUUAGUGUGAAAGCUUAGCAUAUCUAACUUGAACGCUUUGGUGCAAGUGGCACCAAGGUCGUGGUGAGUGAGAUGGGGACACCUAAUCUCAGUUGCUAUGAACCCUUGGCCGUAAGGGCUGGCUUGGGUGCACCGCCAAGUGUGGGGGAUGCCCCCGGGGUUAUAGUCAACAACUUGGAGGUCUAGAAGACCAAGUACUUCUUGGCAACUCUGUUAAGGUGCCAAGGUGAGAUCACUAGGUGAUCUUAUGGCCAGAUAAGGACAAGGUCCUUGGUUGGCUAAGGAAUGAAGUUCCUGGUUCAAAAUGUUGAAAUUGAACUGUUUAAGGUGGUGUGGCUUGGUCGUGAUGACCAAGUGGGAAGAGCACCUAAGGGAAAUAAACUAUGUCCGUGCGAUGGCAUAGUGAGUCCGAGGAAAGUAGUCUCUAUAAAAGACCCAUGGGAGGGUCACGAAGUUGGGCCGUGGAUAGAGCCCAUAGCAGAAGAUGCUAAAGAGACGUACUAGGGGUGAACAUCCUCCGGACUUGGCAAAGAAGAGUCUUUGCUAUGGAACCGAAACAAUACCUCAAGAAGGGAGGUAGAGAUUCGAUGUUGCUUGGUGCAACAAUCAACGGAUAGGAGCAAAAGAUGAGUGGCCAAGAUAGGGCCGUGGAAUCCCUUGGAAGGAAUCCAAGUGAAAAAGUUAGGCGAGGAACACUGAUGUGUUGGACGCUAACAAGUUGCGGGAAAGGAAGUGUGUUUCCAAGGAGGGAAUCCAAAAUGCUCCGAUUUGGCGAAAGUGGAAGCUCCAAGGGAGGGAGCGGUAAGGUAGCCAAAUGAUAGGGCCAUGAACAGCCCUAGCACAAAGUAUGAUAACUGGAACUUUGGCACGAAAUAGAAGAGAGGAUGAUGGUGCCCUCGAGUAGAGAACUUCCUAGGAUGGGAAGUGGAGUUGCACAAAAAGGUGCAAGGCAAGGUGUCGGAGACACCUAGGAAAUUGACUCCAAGAAGUCAAAAUUCAAAGUUCCAAAGUGCAAAGGUUAUAUCGAUGGAAAUCGAGACUACUCGAGAAGGAGUAGUGGGAUUGACUUAGAGAAGGGUCUCUAAGAGGUUUAGCGAGAACUAAACCAAUAAAAGGAGAGAACCAUUACAUGUGGUCCAAUCAGUCUCUAAGUUGUAGAGACUACGCUCCUUAAAGGAUGGACAAGGCAUGGUGAGCCUUUGGUGUCAAACCAUAGACAAAGAUUGGCUAGGUGCCAAGGAUGGAAAUGGUAACACGUGUGGGUGUUACUUUAUGAAAGGGUUUACCGUUCGAUGAGGACAUCGAACUUCGUCUAUGGGUGGUGGAGUUGUGAGACACAAAAUCCCUAGGCCCCAAAGUGGAGCCAGAAGGGCGCCACAUGGUAGUGGCCGAAGCGAGAGCCAAACGAGCGUAACACGUUUGGACCAAAAGCUCCGACUUGAAAAGUCAAGAGCGGGAGUGGAACUCCCAACGAAGUGCUCGAGGAACGAGCACGAAGCGAGCAAAAGGCGAGGCUCCAAAAAGGGACCCAAAAGGACCAACACAUGACACGUGGGAGUGUUCGAGAUGGACUCGAGUUGGAGUCCGAAGUGGAGUCCGAGAUGGACCCGAGUUGGAGUCCGAAGUGGAGUCCGAGAUGGACCCGAGUUGGAGUCCGAAGUGGAGUCCGAGAUGGACCCGAGAUGGAGUCCGAAGUGGAGUCCGAGGUGGACCCGAGAUGGACCCGAGUUGGAGUCCGAAGUGGAGUCCGAGGUGGACCCGAGAUGGACCCGAGUUGGAGUCCGAAGUGGAGUCCGAGAUGGACCCGAGAUGGAGUCCGAGAUGGAGUCCGAGAUGGAGUCCGAGGUGGACCCGAGAUAGACCCGAAAUGGAGUCCGAGAUGGACCCGAGAUGGAGUCCGAGAUGGAGUCCGAGAUGGACCCGAGAUAGACCCGAAAUGGAGUCCGAGAUGGAGUCCGAGAUGGACCCGAGAUGGAGUCCGAGAUGGAGUCCGAGAUGGACCCGAGAUGGACCCGAGAUGGAGUCCGAGAUGGAGUCCGAGAUGGAGUCCGAGAUGGAGUCCGAGAUGGAGUCCGAAGUCGAGACCGAGACCGGGACCGAGACCGAGACCGAGACCGAGACCGAGAUCGGGACCGAGACCGAGGCCGAGGCCGAGACCGAGCCCGAGCCCAAGUCCGAGUCCGAAUCCGAGUCCGAGUCCGAGUCCGAGUCCGAGUCCGAAUCCGGAGCCUGAGAGGGUGAAAGCCCAAAGCGUUCGUCUCCCAGACCCUGGGGGGUUUGGUGAGCUCCAAAAGUAUAGUAGGGGGAGGACUGCAGUGGAGCCAGUUUGGCCAGGAAAGGCCAGUUUGGCGCAGGAAGGCCGGACCCAGUGUUGGGUGAUGAGCUGCCCACUGGGAAGUCCAAGACUAGAGUGAACACAGACCGACAAGCGGGGUAGCUUGGUGAAGUGUUCAAGAGCUGGCUCUAGUUCCCCCGGGAGAUCGACUGGCCGAUGCUCCCAGUCCAAGUGUGGGUGGCACUACCUACUUGGAUACCUGGUGUGGCUCAACGGAACCCGCUCUAAGCCCAUGGCUAGAGCACCUAAAGGCGAAAGGCGAGGAGAGUACCCAGGUGGCUCGCGUAAGGCCACGGUGUUCCGAAAUGUUGUCCCGAAGGCCCAAACUGUGGAAAGGAAGAGGAACAAUCCUCUGGGGCAGUGACCAAGGACACAGUCGUGUGGUGAGGAAGUCCCAGAGGACCGUGGGACUUAGUGGUCGGGCCUGUGGGUCUCGAUCCAGUGGCAGUGUUGGCAAACACGGCCAGGGGCAGAAAGGGACUUAGUGGGAACUGAUAGAGGGAUAUUGGGGAAGGUUAUUCCCCUUGUCGGUGGGCAUCCUAAGGAUGCUAAGGAGUGGAUCUGAGAUGACCACUCACGGAUGGUUUGCCUAGUCUUGGAGAGCCAAGACGGUGAUGCAAGUGGUAUUGGACUACCAGUGUGGCAAAGGUGAUUGGGCAUGGCCUUAGCGUGACGGGCUGCUAUGUCGGUGGUACCUUUGAGUGUCGGUCAUGGGAUCGGACACGUGGAGCACUUGGACCAAGUGCAAAUGUUAAGUGGCAUGGAUGCCAUUCUCGGGGCUAGCAAGUCCCAAGUCCUGGAUUGGACUUAUGGAGGUGGUGAAUGAGACUCCUCCAAGUGGUCAGAGGUGUGGUUAAGUGACUAAAGUAGAAUGGAAAAUUUAGUCGCUUACAUGGGACUUCUUCAUCAUAUGACUAUAUCUUUGAUCUUUACACACAAGGACUCCUUCUUUUCCUUUCUAUAUUGGGACUUUGGGAUGACAUUUCGAAACACCAUGGCCCAACACAAACCUCAUGGGUACUCUCCCCACCUUCCACCUUUGGGUGCCCCAGCCAUAUAGCUAAAACGUGGUUUUAAUGAGCCAUACUAAGUAUCCAAGUAGGUAAUGCCAUCCACAUUUGGAUUGGGAGUAUUGACCAUACGAUCUCCUGAGGGAACUAAAGUUAGCUUUUGAACACUUCACCAAAUUACCUCAUUUGUUUGUUCAUAUUCACUUUAGUCUUGAAUAUUUCAGUGGUUGUAUCAUCACCCAAUAUGUGGGUAUAACCUUCCUUGGUCAUACUAACCUUUCUUGGCCAAAUUAGCACCACAUGAAUCCUCUCUCUAUUAUACUUUUGGAGCUCACCAAACCUUCUAGGGUCUAAGAGAUGAUUGCUUUAGGCUUUCACCCUUAGACUCAAACUUAGUCUUAAACUUAGUCUCAGACUCGGUCUAGAUCUAGGUCUGGGUCUUAGUCUCAACCUUAAACUCCAUCCUAGACUUUAUCUCAAGUCCAUCUCAAGUUCUAUCUCGGGUCCAUCUCAAACUCCAUCAUAGGUCCAUCUCAGGUCCAUCUCAAACUCUAUCUUAGAUCCAUUUCGGACUUCAUCUCGGAUUCCAUCUUGGACUCUAUCUUAGAUCCAUAUCAAACUCCAUCUUGGUCCAUAUCAGACUCCAUCUUAGACUUCAUAUCAAGUCUAUAUUAGACUCUAUCUUGGACUCCAUCUUGAACCCCUUCUCAAACACCUUUUUGGACUCAUUUUUGACACUUACAUAUGUCACAACACUUGCCAUAUGUCAGUCAUUCUUAUGUCCUUUUUUAGAGACUCAUUCAAUGAUUUCUUUAUGCUCAUUCCUCAAGCACUUUGUUUGGAGUUUCACUCCCAUUCUCGACUUUCCAAGUCGGAGCCUUUGGUCUAAAUAUGUUUCGCUUGUUGGAUUUCCACUUCGACCACUACUAUAGGGCACCUUUUCAGCUCCACUUUGGGGCUCAGGGAUUUGUGUCUCAUAUAUACCCUUGUGACAUAUGUAUACUGAAAAGAUGGUAAAUGUCAGGAAUCCCCCAAUUCUUGCCACAUUCCUGACUCUCGCCGGAUUCCUGACCUGCAGACCACAUUCCUGACUCUCGAGACACUUCCCUAUUCAUGACUCUCAAGACUCUUCCCUAUUCCUGACUCUCUGAUUUCUUGUAUGAUUCCUGAGUCUCGAGCCACAUUCCUAAUGAUGAUGUGGUGCCUCCUUGACCUCAGCUAUAUUUAGGCCAUCCUCGAUCCAAGAGUGGUGGAGCUUCAUCAACUUAUAGUAUAUAUAGGUUAGCCUUGUUCUAUUUCUCCACAAUCUGAAUCAACGCCAGUCUAAAGCAUUUUCUUUGUUUCCACUAGCUUUUCUCUUUGUCUUUUGCAUUUUCCAGUCUUGAUCUUGUUGGGGGUCUUGACAAUUUGAUUCAGAUUGUACUUUUUGCUUUUGCUUUAGCUCGUUUCGAUUGUUUGAUUGCCUUUGUUUUUUUCCCCCUUUUUUCUUUCUUCUUGCUGAUGGAGUCUCCAAGCCAUCUUGAUUUCUUUGCCGAAGUCCUUGCAAAAAUCCAAUCUGAGAAUACCGAGCUGAAGGCGACCCUUCUUCGCAUGCAGCAGGAGCUUGCUUCACUUUCGGCUCAAGGAUCCAGCAAAGUUCCUGAACCAAAGGUGAGUUUCCUGGCGAAAUUUUCAAGCAAGCGUUCAGAGCUUUGCAGAUUUUUGAACCAGAUGGAGCUGAUCUUUGCACUUCAACAUCGGCAGUACCCCACUCCCGAGUCUUAAAUUGGUGCGAUUGGGACAUUGCUCGAAGGUGCAGCUUUGUCAUGGUUUUCUCCUCUUCUAGAGAAGAGCAUGAAAGGGGUCGUGGUUCUAGAGCUGAUGGAUCUUCAAUUGUUCAAAGAGAAGCUCGAAGCAUGUUUUGGCGAGAUGGAUCAGGUUCGGGCUACUACCACAAAGAUGAGACGUCUCUCUCAGGGGUCUCGUCCUGCCUCGAUCUACACUGCAGAGUUCCAACUCCUUGCCUUGGACACUCAAUGGGAUGAGUAGGCCCUGAUUGACCAAUUUCGUUUCGGCCUCAAAUAUGGUGUCAAGGAUUUGUUGCUCACCAUGGAGGAUCCCAAGGACCUGUUGGACGCCAUCAACAAAGCUGUUCAAUGUGACAAUCGUCUCUUUGAACGUCAUCAGGAAAGUCGCCAUGCCACUGUUUUUCCGUCCCAGACUCAAGAAUCCCAGCUUGAGUCUUCGGGGCAUACUCCUAAACCUACUACUCCGGUCCCGAUGGAUAUUUCUGGUACUCCCCGACUCAUUAGAGGGAAGUUGAGUCCUGCUGAGAAGCAACGUCGAAUAUCUCAUAAUCUUUGCCUCUACUGUGCUGAUCCUAAUCACAAAGCAAUUGUGUGUCCCAAGAAGCCUCCCCGACUACUUGAGUUCACUCUGCCUCAAAGUCCACCUCUGUUGCAGUCGGGAAAAGACCCUAUCCAAACAGAGUAGGAGCUGUCUGUUUGGACUCCCCGAAUAAAAAUCACUUUUCUACUUUAUCAAGCUUCUCACCACCUUUCAUCAAAGCCACCACCAAUUCUUGCAACUUCCGCGUCCCAUGUCUCUUUUUUUUCACCGGACAAUCAAGACUCAAGGCUCUGGCGCUAUUGGACUUAGGUGCAACUUCCUACUUCGUGGACACGAACUUUGCUGCCUAACAUCACAUUCCUCUUUCUCCUACUAUACGGGAUUUGAGGGUUGAAGGCAUCAGAGGGCAUUUUGUGUCUCCAUCUUCUGGACUUAGGGAAAUGUUGCCCGUUCGAGUACACAUCGGGUCCACCGUCACCAAUAUCGCCUUCAAUAUCAUCAACAGUAAAUCCUCCUCUAUGGUGCUUGGUCUUCCUUGGUUCCAACUACAUUAGCCUCAGAUCUGUUGGAAAGAAUUACAGCUCAUCUCUCCCACAUCACCAUCUCCCACGGCUUCCCCUACAGUUCAUCGAGUUCGAAUCAGGAAAAGUUCCCUAAACUCAAAUCGGGGUUCUGUUUCUAACUCUACGAAGUUUUCACCCUCUUCUUUUUCCUCUCUUCCAUUUUACACUGGACAGUAUCCUCGUCUCAUCAUUCCAUUUAGUCGUACACCUCCUUCUAACGAAAGGUGAAACCGUGUGAUGGUGCUUAAGAUCCGUCAUAGCAUAUAUGGAAUGGAAAAUGUACAUAUGUGUGACAUGGUGAACCGGUGAAGACUCGUGUCUCUCCACGUGGACUAGCCACAUGGCACAGGGCCACUCUCAACACUCCCACUGGCAUUGUGGCCAUCACGAGUGAUGCUCAUCAGUGGAGAAAGUCCCAGCCCUUCGCGAUGGACUUGAAAUCGAUCUCGGGGUAGUGCUUUUGUGAAGAUAUCUGCAACCUGAGUGGUCGUGUCGCAGUAGAUCAGCUCAAUUGUGCCAUCUUCCACUUUCUCACGAACAAAAUGAUGAUGAAUCCCAAAGUGUUUGGUGUGUGAAUGAAAGCGAGGAUUGGCCGCUAACGCAAUGCAGCUUUGAUUGUCGCAGAAGAGGCGAGUGGGAGCCUUCACACUCACACCAAGGUUAGAAAGCAGUGAGUGUAACCACACACCUUCUUUGGUAGCUUGUGAGGCUGUCAAAUAUUCUGCUUCAGUACUAGAGGUUGCCACUGUACUUUGCUUCCUGCUGCACCACGAGACUGCCGCACUGCCCAGGGAAAACGAAUAGCCAGAGGUGGACUUGCGUGUGUCACAGUCUCCCCCAAAAUCAGCAUCACAGUAGUCCGUGAGGGUAAGCGCUUUUCCCUGGUAGCACAAUCCAAGGUAAGUAGUACCUCGAAGGUACCUGAAGAUGCGUUUCACCGCUGCCCAAUGUUGAGAUCCAGGAUUAGCCAGGAAUUGGCUAACUUUGCUCACGGCAAAAGAAAUAUCUGGGCGUGUACGAACAGCUGGAUACAUGAGACUGCCCACAGCUUGUCUGUAAGGGAUGGAGUCCAUGGCUCUCUUGUCGUCCUCUGUCUCAGGAGACAUGGCUCGUGAAAGCUGGCAGCCUAGUUCCAUUGGUGUCGCCACUGGAUUAGAGCUCGUCAUAGAAAACCUGGCCAGGAUCUCUUCUAUAUACUUGGCUUGGUGAAGAUAGAUAGUGCGUUGAGAGCGAUCACGCACAAGUUCCAUGCCAAGAAAGUAGGAAGCCGAGCCAAGAGUUUUCAUCUCAAAUAGAUCUCGCUUAACCUGGAGAAACAUUAAGCGAUGAUUAUGGAUGACAAGAGUAUCAUCAACAUAAAGAGCGAUGAUCACAAAUGAUUCACCCUCCACCCGAAUAUAAAGAUUCGGGUCUGCCUCGCUACGGGAAAAGCCCACACUUAGUAUAAAAUCGUCAAAGCGUUUGUACCAAGAUCUGGGUGCUUGUUUCAAGCCGUAGACAGCUUUCUUGAGAAGCCAGAGAUGAUCCUCUUUUCCAGCGGCUAGAAAUCCUUCUGGCUGUGCCAUAUAGAUUUCUUCGUCAAGCGCGCCAUAAAGAAACGCCGUGGUCACAUCCAUCUGUUCCAGAUCAAAGUCUCCCACCGCAGCAAAAUUAAUCAAGGAACGAAGAGUAGAAUGCUUAACCACUGGAGCAAAGGUGUCGUUGUAGUCAAGUCCAGGAACUUGCGAGCAUCCUUUCGCCACCAAUCGGGCCUUGUAGCGAACCGAGCCAUCAGGAUUAAGCUUCAGAGCAUACACCCACAUGCUCUUGAUAAUCUGGCGAUUGGAAGGCACAGUUGGAACAAGAACAUGUGUCUCGUUCUUUUGCUGUGAAGCAAUCUCGGCUUCCAUUGCUACACGCCAGUAAGACGCUUCCUGUGAGGCCAUGGCUUCUCCAUAGGUCCUCGGAACAGUAGGAGUCCCAGCUGCACGAGAGGAGACCAUUGUCUCGAUGAGACGCUCAGUAGGCCGCCUUGUGCGGAUCGAUCUGCGUAGAGGAUCUGGAGGAGGCGGCGGGGUUGGUGGUGUUGGAGUAGAAGCAGGCAUGGGUUGUUGCGUAGGGACUGUUUGAAGCGGCACAGUGAUCGUGCCGACAGUCAACUGAUCUUGUUCCGCUUCAACGUCAUUUUCUUCGGUCAAGGUAGGUCUGGAAGUAAAACCUUGACUAGAAGGAAGAAACGAAUUCUCGUUGAAAACCACAUCUCUGCUCAGGAUCUCCUGCUUCGUGAUUGGAUUCCAGAGACGAUAGGCUUUGUGAUCGAGGCUGUAGCCCACAAACACAGCCUUCUGGCUCUUGGGAUCCAAUUUCUUGCGCAUUCCAUCAGGGAUGUGUGCCCACGCUUCACACCCGAAUAUUCUCAGAUGCGUAACUGUAGGUUUCUUUGCUUCUUCAGGAGUGAUGUCAGCAAGGGCAGAGGUGGGGAGCCGGUUCUGGAGAUAGUUCGCCGUCAAGACAGCGUGAAACCAGAAGCUGCGAGGCAAACCACUGGAAAGUAGCAUUGCCCGGGCACUCUCCACUAGUGUGCGAUUCUUGCGCUCAGCUACGCCAUUCUGUUGUGGAGUCUCUCGCGUUGUAAGUUCUCGCACAAUCCCUCCUUGCUCACACAGCUGGUUGAAAGCAUUGGAAGUGAAUUCGCCUCCACCAUCACUUCUCAAUCGCUUGAGCAUUUUCCCAGUUUGUGUUUCUCCCAUAUCCUUGAAAGUCUGGAAGUAGUGUAACGAUUGGGAUUUGCGAGCCAUAGGGUAGAUCAUAGUGCGACGACUGUAGUCAUCAAUGAAACUGAUAAAGUAUUGGAUACCUCCCACUGCUGUGGUGGCCAUCGGGCCACACACAUCAGUGUGUACAAGUUCCAUGAGCUCUGUAGCUCGAGAUGCUCCAGUCUUGGGGAAAGGUUGGCGAGUAGAUUUUCCUAGCUGACAGCCCUGGCAAAAUGGAAGAACGGCUCUUGGGUCCAGGUCUAGACCUUCAACCAUCUGCUCGCGUGCGAGCUGCUUGAUUCUAUCAGCACUAGGAUGCCCCAGGCGUGCGUGCCAAAGCUCCAGUGAGUGACUGGUCGUUGUCUUUUGUGCGUGUAGGCCCAGACUCCGUCCAGCAAGAUCUGGCAGCAUGGUAAGGCGGUAGAGGUCACGCCGUCCAGGCCGGGACGCUGUGAGGAUGGCUCCUGUGGUCGAGAUCAGCUGGAAUUGGCGAGGUGUAAUGGCGAACUGAUACCCAUCCUCAGCAAAUUGUCCCACAGAGAACAAAUUAGCACAUAAACCAGGAAUAUAAAGAACCUCGUGGAUCUUUACGACUAUUCCUUGUGGUAAAGUGAACUUGAUGGUUCCAAUUCCUUUCACAGCAAGCUGCUGGGCAUUGCCAACGAUGACAUACUCCUCUGUGGCUGUAGGAACAUAGGCUUCAAAGUACUUAUCACUGUUGAACAUAUGGUCUGUGGCAGCAGAAUCCAGGUAGAUGCACUCUGCAGACAGUGCUGCCACAGCCAUAGCUCGUGACAAGAUGAAGGCGUGUACCACCUUUUUCUUUGCAUUGUUCCUUACAGGCUUGAGAGAUGGAUUUUUCACCCAGCAUUGAGCUUCGUCAUGGCCUUUCUUGUUGCAAUGAGAACACUUGGGCUUCUUGGAUGAAGAGGCUCCUUGUUUCCCUUUGUUCACUGUUUCUUUCCUGAGAGAAGAGUAGAAUGCAACGGCCUCUGAUCCUGUUGUUGCUCUUCGUCUCAGAUCAUCGUCCUGGAGGCUACUGAUCACGCCAUUCAGGGUUAGAGGAGUUCCAGUGGUAGUGAGGCUACGUAUGAGAGGAUCAAAGGAUGGAGGAAGUGUGACGAGCACCAGCUCUGCUUCUUCUUCAUCCUCUAUGUUUGCACCUACAUCCUUAAGAUCAUCUAAGAUGGUUCUCACACCAGCAAGAUGAUCCUUGAGAUCAUCCCCUUCAGCCAUCACCAAUGCAUGAAGCUGCUUCCGUAAAAAUAUGCGAUGGGAUGUUGAAGGGAUCUGGUAAGUCUGCUUCAUGGCCUCCCACGCUUCCUUUGCACUCUUGCACCGUCCAAUGCAAUGGAAUUCUCGCCCCUCCAGCGCUGCAUGGAAUUUGCCCAAAGCUCUCCGGUCCUUCUUGCGAUACUUCGCAGUUUCAUCCACUGUAGCUGUAUCUGGAAGUGUCUCAGUUCCUGUGGUGAUGUCCCAGAGGCCUCGUUCAUCCAUAUAGGAUUCGAAUUUUGUCUUCCAGAAGCACCAGUUCCUCCCAUCAAAUUUUGGUGGAUUUGCGUCCACUGAAACGAUAUCCGCUGUAGGCACAGUCGGAUUUGUGAUGGGAGGGGAAAUAGGUGGUGGAUUUGGAGGCGGAUUUGUAGGAACAGUGGCUGCCAUGGGUGCCGACACCCAAUCCCACCACUCGUUCAAGUCUAGGUCCAGGUUCUUAGUCGUCCAGUGCCUCUUGCAAGGCCUGGAGCGUUUGGAUUAGGGCACGCCUAUGUCUACGUAGACGGAGGCUCCGAUUCACCCUAGCAAAUGUCGCCCUGAUCCUACGGUUUCGAAUUCUUCUCGCUCUCCCAGGCAUUGCUCCGAUACCAUCUAACGGAAGGUGAAACCGUGUGAUGGUGCUCAAGAUCCGUCAUAGCAUAUAUGGAAUGGAAAAUGUACAUAUGUGUGACAUGGUGAACCGGUGAAGACUCGUGUCUCUCUACGUGGACUAGCCACGUGGCACAAGGCCACUCUCAACACUCCUCCUAUCUCCACAAUCACUAUGAAAGAACUCCUUCAUGAAGAAUUUAUUUUCCUUUUUGCUUUGCAUGUUUCCCCUAUCAGUGUUCCUGAAAAGUAUCAUAAUUUUGGGGAUGUGUUUGACAAGAAAAAGCUAAUGUACUGCUUGUUCAUCGGCCUUAUGACUGUCCUAUUGAUUUACAGGAAGGAGCGUCACCUCCGUGGGGGCCUAUCUAUGGGUUAUCCCUGUCCAAGCUUAAGGCCCUCAAAGAGUACGUGGAUGAGAACUUUGCCUCAAGGUACAUUCAGCAUUCGCAGUCCCUGACUGGAGCGCCUGUCUUCUUUGUCAAGAAGAAGGAUGGGAGUUUGCGGCUAGUCAUCGACUACCAAGGUUUGAACAAAGUGACUGUUCGGAACCGUUAUUUGCUGGCCUAGAUCUCGGACCUGUUGGAACGCCUCGGCGGUGCCCGCUUCUUCACCAAGAUCGACCUCCAUAGAGCAUACAACCUGAUUUGGAUCUGGCCUAGUGAUGAAUGGAAGACUGCAUUCGGAACCCGCUAUGGCCACUUCGAGUACACUAUCAUGCCAUUUGGCUUGACAAAUGCUUUAGCAGUUUUCCAACACAUGGUGAACGACGUCUUUUGGGAGUUUCUUGAUCAGAUGGUGAUCGUCUACCUCGAUGACAUCCUUAUCUACUCAAAAACUCAGGAGGAGCAUGACAACCAUGUACGCAAGGUGUUGGCAAAGCUGCAAGAACACAGCUUAUACACGAAGCUUGAGAAAUGUUCUUUCGAUCAGCAGUUUGUGGAGUUCCUUGGGUACAUUGUCACUUCUGAGGGUAUCACGAUGGAUCCUGCCAAAGUCAAGACUAUUCUCAAAUAGGAGCCUCCACAAAGUCAAGACUAUUCUCAAAUAGGAGCCUCCACAAAGUCAAGACUAUUCUCAAAUAGGAGCCUCCACAAUCAAUGUCAGACGUUCAGGUUUUCCUUGGCUUCGCCAACUUCUACCACAAAUUCAUUGAUCACUACUCUAACAUUGUCCUUCCUUUCACGCAUCUCACUCGCAAGGAUGUUCCCUUCUCUUGGUUUGCUGCUGCCCAGUAGGCCUUCGACACACUCAAGGCGGCCUUCAAUUUUGCUCCCGUCUUGAUCCAUACUGAUUCUUCACAACCUUUCUUCAUCGAGGCUGACGCCUCCAACUUUGCCAUCGGUGUUAUGCUGUCUCAACUCAGAGUGGAUCAAGAACUUCAUCUGGUCACUUUCCAUUCUCAGAAAUUCCAGCCUGCGAAGAUCAAUUACGAAAUCCACGAUAAGGAGCUCCUUGCCAUCGUGGAUUCCUUUGGAGAGUGGCGCCAUUUCUUGGAGGGGGCGGCCAUCAAACAAUAGUUUGGACAGAUCACAAAAAUCUCAAGUACUUUGCCACUUCCCGAGUUUUGAGCCGUCGUCAAGCAAGGUGGGCACAAUUCCUGAGUCGGUUUGACUUUGUUAUCAAGUACAGACCUAGAAAGCUUCAAGGCCUUCCUGAUGCUCUUUCAAGGCACUUCUAUCUCAGUCUCAAAUCUAGUAAUCCCAACUUCGAUCAACAGGAUCAAGUUAUCCUCGGUCCUGAUCGGCUUCAAGUUAUGGCAAUUUCCCUAGCCCGUCAGGACUCCUCCUUGAUGGAUGCGAUCAGAAACGAUCUUCAAUCCGAUGAUCUCGCCAGCGACAUUUUCCCCCAUCUUUAGGCUGGACACCCAGUGACUCCCGACUGCCGGCAAUUUGACGAGUUCGAGUUCUUAAAUGGUUUAUUGUACCGUGGGGAGCAGCUUUACGUUCCUGAAGGUGAUGCUCGAAUUGGUCCUAAUGGCGUGCCACAAUAGCCCGACUGCUGGUCACUUCGGCAUUGCGAAAACCUAUGAGCUAGUUGCACGAGACUUUUGGUGGCCUCACAUGGACGACUACAUCAAAGCUUUUGUUACCUCCUAUGACACUUGCGCCCAGAAUAAAGUACCCUGCCACCUUCCUUCAAGUUUGCUUCAUUCCCUCCCGGUCCCUUUAGGUCUUUGGGAAUCCAUCUCCAUGGAUUUCUUGAGUGAUCUUCCAAGUUUUGGAGGCUUUAACAGCAUUUUAGUCGUGGUGGAUCACUUCACAAAAAUGGUGCAUUUCUUGCCGUGUACCAAGGAGUUUUUGGGCGAGGACAUAGCAAAACUGGUAUUCAGGGAAAUUUUCCGACUUCAUGGGAUUCCUACAGAUGUGAUUUCGGAUCGGGAGCCUCAGUUCAUCUCUCAUUUUUGGCAACGGUUUUUGCAGCUACUUAGAGUGAAGGCCAACCUCUCUUCGGCGUAUCAUCCUCAAACCGAUGGACAAUCUGAGCAAACGAUUCAGACGUUGGAACAAUUCUUGAGGUGUUUCAUCAACUAUCAUCAGGAUAACUGGUUUGAUAUCCUUCCUUUUAUUGAGUUUUCCUAUAACAACUCUGUUCACUCCUCUCUUCGAAUUUCCCCCUUCUUUGCGAACUCUGGCCGAAAUCCCCAAUUCAAUCUCUCACUUCCUUCUCCAUCCGAAUCCUCUCGUUCAAAUCCCCGCUCUGAGGCAUUUGUCUCCAACCUCCAGGAAAUCCACAACUCCAUCUCCUUCCACCUCCAUCGUGCUCAGGAAUCUCACAAAACAUUUGCCAAUGUCCAUUGUUAGGAUUGUCCCCCUUACAAUAUCAGGGAUAAAGUCUAGCUCCUCAAGUGAAAUAUCUCCACCACCAGGCCUUGUCCAAAAUUCGAUUUCAAAUGCCUUGGUCCUUUCCCUAUCAUUGCUAUCAUUAAUCUUGUCACUUAUCGCCUUGCACUUCCCUCCUCAUAUCAAAUUCACCCCGUUUUUCACUCUUCUCUCCUUGAGCCUUAUAUUCCCAGUUUUAUUCCAAAUCGGGUCUUUCCUCCGCCUCCACCGGUGCAGCUUGAGGAUGGGUCUGAGUACAAGGUUCAAAACAUCCUUGAUUCCAAGAUUUCACGGUCUAAACUCUACUAUCUGGUCGACUGGAAGGGUUACGGACCUGAGGAACGCACUUGGGAACCUGCAGACAACUUAAUUCAUUCUCCUGACCUUGUUCAAGACUUCCACCGCCACUAUCCUUCUUGUCCCAGUCCUCAUUCUUUUUCUCCAUCUCCCAUCCCUUGCCGCUCAUCUCAUCCUCCUCUUCAUUCUCGUUCACAUCCUCGUUCCACUCGUUCUUGAGGAAGGGGUGUUAUUAGGAAUCCCCCAAUUCUUGCCACAUUUCUGACUCUCACCAGAUUCCUGAUCUGCAUACCACAUUCUUGACUCUCGAGACACUUCCCUAUUCCUGACUCUUGAGACACUUCCCUAUUCCUAACUCUCUGAUUUCCUAUACGAUUCUUGAGUCUCGAGCCACAUUUUUUAUGAUGAUGUGGUGCCUCCUCGACCUCAACUAUAUUUAGGCCAUCCUCGAUCCAAGAGUGGUGGAGCUUCAUCAACCUAUAGUAUAUAUAGGUUAGCUUUGUUCCAUUUCUCCACAAUUUGAAUCAACACCAAUCUAAGGCCUUUUCUUUGUUUCCACUAGCUUUUCUCUUUGUUUUUUGCAUUUUCCAGUCUUGAUCUUGUUGGGGGUCUUGACAGUAAAUAACCAUCAUAAUCUAAAUGCUAAAAGUUCAUAUACUUUGUAAUCAUCCCUUUAAAGGUCCAAACAAGCUAUUCUACCAAACCAUUUAUUUGUGGAUAAUAAGCACUUCUGAAAGUGUGGUGUAUCUCUAACUAAGAUGUUAAAACUUGAAAUGCCUCAACUAUAAAUGCAGGACUAUUAUCUGAAAGAAUCCAUUCCAAAUAGAAAUACUGGAAAACCAGUUGAUUAAGGAGGAAGUAUUCAACAGUAGUUGCAAAUGCACUAGCAAGAGCACCAACUUCUACUCACGAGUCAAAUAGUCAAAAGUAAUAAUAAUAUAUUCAUUACCAAUAGUCGAAUGUGGAAAAGGUACUAAUUCAAAUAGACAAGAAACUAUAAUUGACUUCAAUUGUCCUUCCAUAGCACAAAGGGGAGUAUUACAAACUUGACACCAAACACAUUUACACAUAUAUCAGAUAAUAUUAUAUUACAUUUGUAGCUAACGGAUAUAUUUGCAUAGCUUCUCAAUCAUACAACAAUAUCCUAUAUACCCAUCUAGAAUACCAAAUUGCAUCAUUGACUUAAAUGGCUGAAGAUGAUACAAUUAUUGAAAAGCAUCAUCACAAUCAUUAAUAUGUUUAAAUAUGCACUUGAAAAUAUUUAGAUGUUUUGAUCUGCACAAGUGGCUACACUCAAAUCAUUGUACUAUUGCAAUGUUGUCCCUUAGAGACAUAUAGGAAAUUCACACAAACACUAAACAUCAUCCUAUAAAUUAUAUGUGGCAAUUAGCAUAAAGUGAUUGAAUUAAUAAUAUAUAUCAUCCCUAGGAUUCCUACAAAAGAACUUUGGUUGGAUGUGAGGAUUGGUAGUAAGAGCAAGAGGAACUCUACCAUGCACUAUAAAUGCUGGCAUCAACGGAGUUUGAUCCUUUAAUUGCAACUACAUAGUAUCAAACAAUUGCACUAACUACUACUCCAUAGUCAAAUGAGGAGGAAGUUGUUUCUUUGCUAUGAAAAUGAAUGAAAAGGAAAAAACAAAAGAAAAAAAAUUGAAAAAGAUAUAAAGAAAGUGAGAUCUAGACAAUGCAAAAUUAAAUAUAACCAAAAUUCUAAAUCCAAACACUCCUUAGAGAUAAUUAAAGUUGCCUCUCACCUCUAUUAAUGUGAGUGUAUAGAAUAUGGAAAUGAAAUACAAAAAUAUACAUAUUAAUUAGCCUAAAAACCCUAAUUUAUAUACAGGAGUGAGUGGUUUAGAUUGAAACCAAAUUGACAGGUAUUAAAAUCCCACUAUGCUUAUAUUUGUAUAUAGUAUUGUAACUAUACAUUUAGACCUCACAAGUCAAAAUAGCUCUUAAUUGACAAUAUUAAAUAAAGUAUGAUGGGUUUAUCUUUAGAACCACUAUAAAUGGUGCUUUUGACUAUAUCACAAUCUAUAUAACUUUGAAAUAUUUGGUGGAUGAAUAUUUAUCAUCUCUAAAUUAAAAAUUUAUUUUGUUAUACAUUUUAAUUGAAAUUUAGUUUUGAAUUUAGAAAAAUAUAAGUUAUGGCAAACUUUUACUAUUAAAAAAUCUAUUACUACAUACUUUUUAAGAUUAAAAAAUGAUGAUAGUUUAUAUUAUAUUCACAAAUAAAUAUAAAUGAAUAGUAUAUAAGAUAAUAAAAGUCAAAUUAUUUUUAUUAAUAUUUCUUAGUUUGUAAAAUAAUUAAACUUUAAAAAUAUAUAUAUCUCAAGAUCACCAAAUAUUUAAUUAUGGGAAACUAACAUAAAAUGCUAAGUCAAAAUAUUAAAGUAAAAUAAAAAUUUACUUAUGAAGCCUUCAUUAUCUAAAUUGUUAUAUUUUGGUACAAAUCUAAAAUUAUCCAAUUGAAUUUAUGAGAAAAAGUGAUUAAAAAGGAUCUUUUGGAAUUAAAAAUUAUAUGUCCUAAAAUGAUUCUUGUGUGGAAAGUGAUCAACUAACAAUUUUGCAAUAUGUUUAAGCACAACACACUUAUAAAAGAAAUAAAUAAUUAAAUAAAAUUAUUACAAUCCAUAAUAAUCAUUAUGACAAUUAUUGAUGAAAAGGUUCCUCAAAUGUUUGUGAAACUUGUGUUUGUCAUUGUUAAAUUGACAAGUCACAUCAUAAAGCUCUUUCAAAUGCUAAUUAGGCUAGGAAUGAUGAAAGUGCUACCUCAUGCUCUUAUUGUAAAGACCAUUAAUAAAAUAGUACUUAUUAUAAUCUGGACCCUUUAUUAGAAUAUAGUUAAUCAAGUGAGAAGCUUUUUAAUAUAAUCCUUGAGCAUUAUUUUCUCUUGUUGAAAAUGUUAAAGCUCCUUUCCAUGUCUUAGUGAGGGGCAAAAUAUAGAUGAAAAACAACUUCAAACUCAUCCAUAGUAAAUACUGGUGGUUUUUUGUCUAUAAUAUGAGACUUCUUAAGCCAAUUCCAAAUCUACAUUAUACAAAAUAAUUGAAAUAACUACUAAAGCUUUAGUCAUAGUGAGGGUGCAUUAGCGAAUAUAGUAAAUUAUCAUCUAGCAAGACUAUACUCAAUAUUAUGAGAGUUCCCAACAUAAAGACCAAUAACAUUAACCAUGUCAAGUAUAUUUAAUUAAAUGAAAACUUCUGAUUUUUUUCUUUAGUGUUCUUCUGAACUACUUUCUCAACUAAUUUGGGCAGAGACUAAUAAAAUGUUUAACAAUAUUGAUUUUUUGCCAUUAUAGUAGUAAAAGAAGAAUAUCCAAAAGGACUCACUAAUAGUUAACUUUUUUGACAUCUAUAAUCACAUUCACAACACAUAAUUGUGUAAUAGAUGAGCUUCACUUCCUAGAGGUUGAUGUGCACCUUCUAACAAUCUGAUUGAAACAUAGCUUAGGUCCAAGAUCAAUAUCAAAUAGAGUUCACCUCCCAAUAUUAUGAUAUCCUUAGUGAUAGUUUUCCUAAUCUUUGUUUUGAGCUGCUCAACUAUGCCCAUCACCCACUACAAGCGAGGAAGAAGCCCCUGCCUGCAAGAGGUGUAGGCAUAUUUCUGCAGGCCCAUCCCAAAUAUCAUAGAUGAAGUCACCAAUAUGGAGAAGGGUGAAAACACCACACCCAACACCACACCAAAGGUUGCUCUCCCACUUAGUUUUGAGCACCAACAACAAGUUUAUGGAUGGGGAGGAGAUGGCAAAGAAUUACACUUGGUUUUUCUAAGUCCAGAUGAGCUAAUAGCCUUAAAUUUAUCAGUCUAAGAUAAACUUGGGUCUAAUGAAAAUUGAGAAUGUAUAAUACCACAGCCAACCUUGCUUGCCCGCAUUAUUCCAUUGUUCUCAAAGUUUGAAUUUGUUUCUGAGUUAUUACCUUUGGACUGAUGCUCAAGUAGAGGAUUUCAAGGAAGAAUCUCAAGUGGUUAAGCGCUAGUGCUUGCUGUUCCCAGGUCCAUAAACUCUGAGGGGAAAACCUCCGGAGGCACAGACACUCUAGCCAGAGCAAACCAAUUCUCUUACAUGGAAAUUGAGCUGGCGUUGUUCAAGUCAUUAAGGUCUUGACAAAUCAGACUAUUGUCAAGAAGAAUCUAACAAAGGCAUUCCACUCUACUAAGAGGGACGAUCUAAACAAAAAGAGAGGCGUAGUAUUUUCAAGUGAUCAAACCUGGAAAGAAACAAUGAAUGGAAGCAUAAGGGUUAAGCAAGGUUUAAGUGUGAGAAAGAAUGCAAUAUUUUUCAAGUGAGCAACCCAGCUUGGAAGAAGAAUUGAUCUUUAAAUUUUCUAUGAUCUUGGAGUUCCCACACACUCUAGCUUCCCCGAGUUUCUGCCUCCUCCAUCUUCUGCUACACUAAUACAGUACAUAAUAUCCAAAUUUUGGUCUCCCAAGAGAGGAAACGUUCUUACAGCGUUCUCCUCUACCACCUUUCUAUCCUCUUUUUUCCUGAUCCUCCAGAGUCAGUUCACUACUCGACGCAGUUAGUUCCUGGUUCCAUGAUGACGAGGAAAAUAAUGAGCCGGAAUCUGUAAGAUCGUCCUCUGAGCAAGAGCCGUGCAAGAAGAUGAUAAUGCUGGAGUGGCUCCGCGGGUGGCUCCGGAGCUCCAUUGAGCGGACGACACUCGCAGACGAGCUUGAACUUGCCGCAUGUGCAAACGAUGAUCCUCUCGGAGGGUAGCCAGGGAGACAGAGCAGUAACUUGCGAAGGUGUAGCACAGAUAUCCUCCAGCCAGCUCUACUCGCAUCGGAAGCUCCAAAUCAGCGAGCUUGGAGCCGCUCCUGCAGCUAAGGCUCGACCAUCUUUCAAAAACGACUGUGGCUAAGCACAAAGAAUAACCUCCUUCAUGAAGUCGAUGAUCGACGUUGGCAAAUGUUCCGCAGCAUCCACCGACUUUUCUCCUCCGUGCUUUAGUGUAGACUUGCGGCNNNNNNNNNNNNNNNNNNNNNNNNNNNNNNNNNNNNNNNNNNNNNNNNNNNNNNNNNNNNNNNNNNNNNNNNNNNNNNNNNNNNNNNNNNNNNNNNNNNNNNNNNNNNNNNNNNNNNNNNNNNNNNNNNNNNNNNNNNNNNNNNNNNNNNNNNNNNNNNNNNNNNNNNNNNNNNNNNNNNNNNNNNNNNNNNNNNNNNNNNNNNNNNNNNNNNNNNNNNNNNNNNNNNNNNNNNNNNNNNNNNNNNNNNNNNNNNNNNNNNNNNNNNNNNNNNNNNNNNNNNNNNNNNNNNNNNNNNNNNNNNNNNNNNNNNNNNNNNNNNNNNNNNNNNNNNNNNNNNNNNNNNNNNNNNNNNNNNNNNNNNNNNNNNNNNNNNNNNNNNNNNNNNNNNNNNNNNNNNNNNNNNNNNNNNNNNNNNNNNNNNNNNNNNNNNNNNNNNNNNNNNNNNNNNNNNNNNNNNNNNNNNNNNNNNNNNNNNNNNNNNNNNNNNNNNNNNNNNNNNNNNNNNNNNNNNNNNNNNNNNNNNNNNNNNNNNNNNNNNNNNNNNNNNNNNNNNNNNNNNNNNNNNNNNNNNNNNNNNNNNNNNNNNNNNNNNNNNNNNNNNNNNNNNNNNNNNNNNNNNNNNNNNNNNNNNNNNNNNNNNNNNNNNNNNNNNNNNNNNNNNNNNNNNNNNNNNNNNNNNNNNNNNNNNNNNNNNNNNNNNNNNNNNNNNNNNNNNNNNNNNNNNNNNNNNNNNNNNNNNNNNNNNNNNNNNNNNNNNNNNNNNNNNNNNNNNNNNNNNNNNNNNNNNNNNNNNNNNNNNNNNNNNNNNNNNNNNNNNNNNNNNNNNNNNNNNNNNNNNNNNNNNNNNNNNNNNNNNNNNNNNNNNNNNNNNNNNNNNNNNNNNNNNNNNNNNNNNNNNNNNNNNNNNNNNNNNNNNNNNNNNNNNNNNNNNNNNNNNNNNNNNNNNNNNNNNNNNNNNNNNNNNNNNNNNNNNNNNNNNNNNNNNNNNNNNNNNNNNNNNNNNNNNNNNNNNNNNNNNNNNNNNNNNNNNNNNNNNNNNNNNNNNNNNNNNNNNNNNNNNNNNNNNNNNNNNNNNNNNNNNNNNNNNNNNNNNNNNNNNNNNNNNNNNNNNNNNNNNNNNNNNNNNNNNNNNNNNNNNNNNNNNNNNNNNNNNNNNNNNNNNNNNNNNNNNNNNNNNNNNNNNNNNNNNNNNNNNNNNNNNNNNNNNNNNNNNNNNNNNNNNNNNNNNNNNNNNNNNNNNNNNNNNNNNNNNNNNNNNNNNNNNNNNNNNNNNNNNNNNNNNNNNNNNNNNNNNNNNNNNNNNNNNNNNNNNNNNNNNNNNNNNNNNNNNNNNNNNNNNNNNNNNNACGAUGAACCGUGAUCAUCACUAGUGGUGCAGGGUGCAACAUCGAGCACAGCAAUGGCUGAAACAGAAGAAAGGAAAAUGAGAGGAAUAAUAGCAUGCCCUGACGCACCAAGUUUGAAAUCUUGACAGAUUAUCGUGAGUCCAAUAAAAAUUCAUAGAAAAUUUAUUUUUCUCUUUUUAACCUGAACUUGAGCGAAUCUACAUUCAACUGGAGCAUACGUCAAAAGCUUUCAAGGUAAAGUACCAUCAAAAGCUGCGUCGCUUGUUCGUUCCCCGCUGGUCACCACGAAUAUCGAUUCUCCAUUCUCGAAUCUCGAAAGGAAGGACACCUUUUCAGGUCGCUCCAUCGCUGGAGCAAACUUCCACCUAUUCUGCUCUACUGAAUUACUCUCGGUACGGCUCUGAUCCAUCCAUCCUGAAGUAAAGAAUUCUCUUUUUUCCUCCUCUUUUUUUUCUUUUUUUUUUUCUCUUGGAACAUUCGUAAUUAAAGUUUCUGGUAAGUGAUUCUGAUCUUUUCUCUCAGUCUAGCAGCAGUGUUUGAAACUGAUGGUCACACGCUCGCACUCAUCCAAUUCUGUGUUUGUUCUCUCAGUCGCAAUUGACGCUUGCAAGAUUGAUUGCUUGCAGGGUGAUUCGAUUACAUGCUCCAAAAAACCAGAAGAUUUUAUUGUUUGAUCUUCUCGCAAGCUCUAUCGAAGCAGACAAACUCCGGCUUUGCCCUCGUUCCUGAACUAUAAAGACGAACCACAUUAAGAAGAUACUUAUCAACCACGAAUCGAGACCAUUGACCAUGAGAGAACCAAAGAAAAGAAAAGAUUUUGUUGUUUCAUGGUCAUUUGUAUAUUUUUCUGCGUUGACGUUGACGGUGGGUUGUAAUUUGCAGGCAUGGUUUAUAUUCCUUGUUUGUGGUCCCCCAAGUAUGUUUGUUUAAACUUCUUCUUUCCCUUUCUUGGACUUUUUGCUGGUGCUGGUGGGAUAGUGUCUCGAUCGAAAUUGUUGCUUGGUUGGUUUGUUUGAUGGAUUGAAUGGAUUGCCUCCUUGUUUGUUUGUUGGCCGCGAUUGUCUCUACAAAAACUAAUCACUUUUUGCGUGAUGGUUCCGAGAUCAUCGUUGGGAUUUGCUUACUGAAGCUCCUGGUGGCCUCCAAUCCUAGGAUCGAGGCACGAGCCUUGGAAUCCCAAAGUUGGGGGUUAAAACUCCUAUAGAAAAACUUCCAGAAAAACUGAUCAAUCACUGAAAAGCGAGGCCCCGUCCGUACUGGGUGUGCUAGAACUUGUCACAACUACGGCCACCUACAACAACGCUCCAAGCACUUUAGAGAAUUUUGAGAGAAUAUCGAGAAUUUCCUGUGUUCUCUCAGGAGAGUGUGUCUGUGUGGGUGUCCCAGGCCAUGACUGCACUCCAAGUGUGCAAAUAGAAACUCCGGUCUUUUCGCUUAGUUGGUGUGUCAACCCACAAGGAAGACAAUGAAACGACCAGAUAACACAGAAAAAUGUGUGUCCGUACACCUCUUUUUCUCUUUUUUCUUUGGUGUAAGCUAUGGGAUAGCUGCUGCUGCUACUCUACGAGGCUCAAUCAAGCAGAGAGAGAGACAUUCGCGUGAAAUUUUAGGAGCCAGUUCUUUCGCUAGGAAUUUGAUUCCAAUUGUCCUUGUUUGUAAGAAGCAAUUUUUUAAGGCUCCCAACGUAUGUUUAAGCUAAGAAAAGGUGGUCAAACGAGAUCAAGUUUCUCAUGCGCACAUUAGCAGGUUGAUCUAUUAGAACAGUGGUUUGAUGUUCUCUUUUUUUUCUCACUUUGUGUGAUUGUUGGUGUGAUAGUGGUGGAAUCCACGCGGAAUUUUCUAUAGGAAUGUGUGAGUGGCGUCGAUGAUGCUUCUAGUAGAGAUUUUUUUUCCCCUCUCUAGCUAGCGGAUUGAAUCCAGUGAGUGGAAACAAACAAUUUUCUUUUGUUUGGUCUGUUAGAUGGACUUCUUUGAUACGGCAUGCGGUCGGUGAAUCGUUUUCAUAUUUCUAAACAUUGUUAAAUAUUAUAGUAAUAAAGAAAUAAUAUUUAUAAUAUAAUAGUAAGGUAAGAAAAACGUUAAUUCUGGCGUUAAGCUGUCAAAGUUUAAAAGAGAGACCGCCGCCAAAAAAGCGCUGUCUGUGUGCAUAGCAGUAGAAGAACCAAUGGUAAAACUGGCGAGACAGUAACAUACUGCUGUGGUAACAAGCGAAGACACGUUAACUUCACAGACAGGCUAGCUACACGUCUGGUUUUCCUAGCUACACCGAUUGAUUUUACCCAUUCGGGUAAAAUCGUCAGUCUCGAACGUACAAUAUACGUAUUCUCAGCAAGAAAGCUGGCCGGCGGAGCCGAGUAAAUACACAAGUCCUAGAAGAAAGUUUCCCUGGUGGGGUGAAAAAUCGUGUCCUUGAAAAUCUACUUAUUUCCCCAAGGACCUGUCCCUAGCAAAGUGCGCUCUUUGCGCAGGGGCCUUUAGCAAGAACAGCCUAUAGAUGCCUAUGAGAACCCUUAUAGUUUUUAUUUCAUACAGCCUACUUGGUUUCUUCCAGGACUUCUCGUGCUUCCUUCCUUCCAUUCCAUUCUUUUUCUUCUCUUCUCUCUCGAAUCGAUCGAUCGAUCGGCCGAUCUCUCCUCUCCUUCCCACGAAAAUUAGCGAAUCGGCGGUGAUCAUUGGCGCUGCGAGGAAGAAUCGGCGAAGAAUUCGCUCUCUUUCCUUCUCACCCCGGCGCGGCAAGGCGGGGAUUUCUUUCCACUGUUCUUCGCCCGGGCAUUGCAGCGAUCGAUCGUGAGCUGGGACGACGACGAAGGAGAUUAUGAGGAGCAUGUACUCGAUACUGAGCCCCGAGAGCAAAGAUCGUCCCAAGAUCCAUGGCGACAAGAGCCCUAAUCCCUCCUCCAAGGAUCCCACCAGGAAGGCGGCGUCGGCGGCAGCGCAGAGGGCAUCAUCGAGCAGGAGAAAAUGUAGGCGAGUGUUUAGGAUCCGGAUGCGCGUAGCAGCGCGCCUCCAUUUCCUGGAUCGGCUGCGCGAGAUGUGCGUCCGCCUUGUUCUUGGCAGUGGGAGGAGCCGAUGCCGCAAUGUGUGUGACUCGCCCAAGCCCGAUCAACAGCGCCAUCGCCAGGCGCCGCCGCCGCCGCCGCCACACAAGCAGCAGCAGCAAGCAGCAGAGAUUUGCGUGAGCCGGAGCUCCUACUGCGAGGACGCGGUGUCGGAGUGCAUCAAAUUCAUCAAGCAAACGGCGGUGGCCGCGGAUUCCCGGUCCCUUAUCUGCUGAUCGAUCGAUCGAGCAGCGCGCUCGCUGUUGCUGUUCCUCCUGUUCCUCGACGCAGAGAGGUUCGUCCUUUUUCGUGAGUUUGCCUGUAGAUAUUCCUCCCUAUACGAUGGAAAUGUUUCCUUUUGGUGCUCUAUAGCUCGCCAAAGAAGAAGAAGAAGAAGAAGAAGAACGAAAGAGAGAAAGAAAGAAAGAAAGAAAGAAAGAAGAGGAGUGGUGAAAGGAUUGAAAGCUCGAGCUCGCUCGAGCUGUGAUAAAUUUGCAUUAGAUUUGCAGUGUCUCACGAGUCCUGUGACUGCUAUAAUUCUCGAUUUGAUUCAAAAGACUGGGCAUUUGUGUGCAUAAACGAAGAGCAAGAAAAAAAAAAGCUUUGGGUUUUGAUGGGUGGGGAGGAUCUUGCCUGAGAAGCAUUUCCUCACAUUUGAAAUUAUUAAUGAAUUAUGGUGUUUUUGUCGUGUUUUUUCCUCCUCUUUUCCUCAUUCCUAGUAGUACUUGAAGGGUCGUUGCUUGGAUUUUACUCAUUCACUCAAGCAUUCAUUCAUUCAAUUCAUCUCUCUCUUUUUUCUCCCUGGCAGUGUGGGCUGGUUAAAUUUACCGGGAAGAAAACCACAGAGAGAGAGAGAGAGAGAGAGAGAGAGAGAGAGAGAGAGGUGUUGAGUCAGUCUCUUAUCUCCUUGUUGUUGUUGUUGUGCUCUCUUGCAUUGUGUGGGUGUUCCAUAAAUGGUGGAUCGUUUUCAUUGCAGGAAUGAGAUUCACAAGGUUGGAGACGGGGAUUGAUUGCUGCUGUGUGAAGAUGCUGUGGCUGUGGACACUCAUACACUAUACACACACAAACUACGCUUACACAUCCCAGGAAUUCCAGGGAGGGAUUGAAGUUUGGAGCUCCAGUGUAGCUUUUUUGACAUAUUCUCUGGGCCGCUAGACACGCACUAGUCAAGGAAUGAAUGCACGGGUCAGGAG
rnacentral:lncRNA from 1 species